GUAGAUAAUUUUCUUUUUAUUGCUAGAUUCAUUUUACUGCCCUAGCACACAUCCUAUUAAUUUUUCACAUACUAUUAAGUAUAAGAUUAAAGGUCUCAUUGGAACAGAUGAAACCAACAAGAAAAGAUUUGAUAAGUACUGCUUAACUAUAUCAAAAAUCUCUUAACAUUUUUCAUUCUAUUCACCAGGGUUAUUCUUGUGAAAAAACUUAAAAAUGGGAUCACACUUGUAGGUAAAUUAAGAAAUAAAUUAAGAAAUAUAGUUCCAUCUACCUAAAAAUCUUCAAACUUUUUUUAGUGUGCUUAGAGUGAUAAAUUUUGAAUAGUUCAUAUCUUGUUUGGUCGACUUCAAUCUUUUUUCCAUUGACCACGACGUCUAACAACUUCUCUGACUUACCCUUAAAUGUCCAUUUGGCUCGAUUCAGCUUAAGUUGGAAUUUUUUCAACUUCGUAAAUAACUUUUUAAGGUUAGUGACAAGAUCUUCUCUUUGGUGAGAUUUUACGGUCAUGUCGUCUAUGUAUAUCUUAAUUUUUUUGUGCAUUAUGUCAUGAAAAAGUGUUACCUUAGCUUUUUGAUAAGUUAUCCUAGCAUUCUUUAAAUCAAAUGGCAUAAUUUUGUAGCCAAAAGUACCCCACAUGAUCACAAAAGUGAUCUCUUUCAUGUCUUCAUUAGCCAUCUUUAUCUGAUUAUACCUAAAAAUCCAUCCAUGAAAAAAAACAUAAAAUGUUUGAUCGUAUUGUCCACUAGUGUGUCAACAUGAGAUAAUGGAAAAUUAUCCUUCAAGCUGGCCCUAUUCAAGUCAUGAUAAUCCAUACAUAUUCGUAUCUUUCCAUCUUUCUUAAGGACAGGUACUAUAUUGGCUACCCAUUCUAGAUACUUGGCCACUUGUAAAAAACCUAGAUUAAAUUACUUUUUCACUUCUUCCUUAAUCUUUAACAGUAUCUCGGGCUUCAUUCACCUCAACUUUUAUUGGAUCGAUUUACAUUUUGGCUUCGAAGGUAAUUUAUGUUUCACUAUUUCAGUACUAAGCUUGGGUAUAUCCUGAUAAGACUAAGCAAUACAUCUAUGAAUUCUCAAAGUAGAUUUUUUAACCUUUGCCUAUCUACCAAUGAAAGUGAUGUGCCAAUUUAAACCUCUCUCUUAUUCUCCUUAUCUCUUAAGUACACCAAACCUGAUGAGGCUCAAUUAGUUUAUUUUCUUGUUCAAUUCAUCUCAUUAGGUCCGAAAGCAGUGCAUAUUCCUCAAAAUCAUCUUUGUUAUCAAGUUCAUUAGCGUUAAUUGAAUUUUUAAAAUUAAACCUUUGAUCAUUAUCAUAAUUAUCCUCAUGUUCAUUUAAGAACCUAAAAUUGAAUGAAAUUAGGAAUAUUGGCAAGAUGUGUUAGUUAGAUGAAAAUGAAAAAUGAAAACAAUAAAAUAAAUGAAUGAAAAUGCAUAAUUCUUACUCUAUUAUUGAAAUAAUAAUAAAUAAAUAACCCAUACAUAAAAAAAAUCAUUCUAAUGUUUUUAAGCAUAAGUAAUUGAGAUGCACAAUUACAUUGAAAAAGUUUUAAGGAUAGUAGGCAUUUCAGUGGUGCUCUAAUUAUUUAGCUAAUAACUUGACGAAUAAGAAUGGAUCGAUAUUUCAUGUCCAUGCCUCUUUUCAUUUCCAAUUGCAUAGAUGGCAAAUGCAGUAAAUGCCUCCUCUAUGCUUAAUUUUGGCUCCUCUUCAAAAUCUUCACCUGACUUCAGAUUUAUAAACCUUCUAAGCUUGAAGGUAUCAUAGAGGUGUAGAAUGACCAUCGACAUAGCUUUUGAUUCAUAACCUCUAAGUUUUGCCUCCUUACUUUCCCUUUUAUUCAUUCGUCUCUUCUUCAUCUCCUAGCCUUCUAUUUCAUAGCCCAAACCUAGCCUCUCACUGUUGUCAACAAUCAUCGAAAGCUCUUUUAUUCUUUGCAAAUUUUUUAUACAACCCUACUCUAGGAUACUAACCUUUAUUGGUGAUCUAAUUCACCACUAUGUUUAUGAAACAAGGUUGGUUUGUCAUAGGUUCUUCAGUAAUAGAAUUGAUAAGCUUAAAGGAUCAAUAGAAGCAUUCUAAUGCCUCUUCAGCAACCUCUAUAUAUAAGGCAUUUAUAGGCUGGGUUACCAACAUAUCUUCUUCUUCAAACACAAUGAUUAGUUGUCUCUUCAUGUUGAAUUUAACUUUUUGGUGUAGGGUAGAUGGGACAACACUUGUCAUAUGAAUCCAUGAUCUUUCCAACAAACAACUAUAAGAUUGGGAGAUAUCCAUCACUUGAAAUUUAAUAUUAAAGGUACAUGACCUAACUUAUAAAGGCAUCUCAAUAUCUCUUAAUAUAUUGCACCUGAUCCUAUAAAAAAACAUGUACAACCAUAUGGCUACUCUUCAUAUGUGACAACUUAAUUGGCAGCCUUACCAAAAUUGACAUAGGUAUGACAUUAAUAACAGAGCCACUGUUGAUGAGGAUUUUAGCUACGAUAUGACUCUUACACUUGAUAAUGAUAUAAAGAGCUUUAGUGAUUCUUUUUCUUUCUAGAGGAAUUUCAUCAUCACUAAAAUUUUAUAUAGUAUGGCACCACCAAAUUCCCAACUAAAUGAUUCACAUAUUCUAUUGACAUAUUGUGAGCCACAUAUGCUUGGUUUAAUACCUUCAGCAAGGUAUUUUGGUGAGAUUCAAAAUUUAACAAUAGUGACAAUAACGAAAUCCGAGUUGGCAUCUCGUUUAGUUAUUCAACCAUAGAAUACUCAUUAUGCUUUAUCAGCGUUAAAAACUCAUAAGCUUCUUUUUCAAUCACUGAUUUUUGGCAUUUUUUUUUUGAACACUACUUCAAGCACAUUCAGGUCUUUCCUAAUAUUUACUUUUUUCCUAUUUUUUUCAGCAUCUUUGGAAUAUAACAUUUUCCACUUCUGAUUAUGCCAUCCAUACCAAUUAUGUUAGCAACAUCAGUUUUAGGCACAGUCUAUUUUUGCCCUUAGACUAUCACAUCACAGCUACAUUUUCAUGGCAUAACUUUGUCAUCUGUAUAUGAAAACGAGGUAAAAACCUUAAAAGUUAUCGACUUAGGAAGUAGUUUGUCUAUGAUCGACUUUGGUUUUUCCUUAUAGUAGAUCAUUAGUGUUUUAGGAAUGAACUUUGAUGGUUUAUCGAUCAUAAACACUUUGACAUUUCUUGAAGUCUACCCUUCUUCGUAGAGCUCAAUCUGAUAAAAAUUCAUAAGCUUCUGUACCUCUUAAUGAAAUUGUUUAUAAGUUUCAAUGGAGUGACUAAAAACCUCACUAUGGUAUUUGCAUCUCUUAUUUGGAACACAUCGUCCAUGAUAAGUAUGUAGAUCCAUCAGUUAUAUCAUGUUAGCUUCAUACAAGGUAUCAAAUAGUUAACUGAGAAGAGUUUUAACUUUUUUCACUUUUUUUUUUACUCAACACUCUCGAUCCUCACUCAAAGUAUUGACAUUAUGAUUGGGUAAUGGAUUACCAUUGACAUUAGGUACUGUUACCUCAGUUGUAUGAAAAUUGAUCAUCUCAUCUAUAAUUAGACAUUGCACACCUUAUGCUUCAGGCCAAUGUAAUUUUCAGUAAAACAACCAAUAUUCUUAUAGUGGUAAUCAUAAUUAACUAUAGAAUUGUACCACUUAGGUUAAGAAAGCUUGAGUGAUUUCAGAUGAACAGAAGCGAUUAGUUAGUUAUUGUAGAGCUCUCAAUGCAACUCUAUAUAGCUCAUGAAGAUAGGGUUAAAAGAAGCUUUUUCCCAAAUAUUUCAUGGCUCUCACGAACCACUUAAUGGGUUAGUAGGAUGAAUUAGAGGCCUUACAAAAUAUUGGGGAUUAUAACCAUACAUAUAAGUCUGUAGCCUAAAAGUUGAUUGAUAUGUGAGUGGGUAGAAUGGUUGUAGAGGUAAGAUGUGGUGUUAUUUAUAGUAGGAUAGUGGAUGGGGUAGACUAGUGAUGGAUAGGGUUGGUAGUUUCUAAACUACUAUCUUUCAAAGCUUAUAGCCUGAGCUUCAGUUUUUUUCUUCUUAUGUGCUUUUUUAGUAAACGAUUUUUUUUCUUUCAACUUAUCAUUUUUUUAUAACAUUCUCAAUGAUUUUGCUUGAGAUUACUAUAUUAAUAAAAUUUUUUAUUGUAUUACCUAUCACAUUUUCAUAAUAGAGAGAUUUUAAAGUACUUAUAAAAAGUAUUGUAGUCUUUUUUUCAGUCAAAAAUAGCUUAACUUGAGCAACCAUAUCCCCCCACCUUAGCUAUACUCCUUAAAUGACUCAAUCUUUUUUUUUUUAUAUUCUGUAAGAAAAGAAGAUUAGGAGUUAGAUCUAUUAUGUGUCGAUAUUGAUUGAUAAUGUUACAAGCUAACUCUUACUAUGAGUGAAUAUAAGAUUAAUCAAGCUAGACAUACCAUCUAACAGGAAAGCUAGUAAGGCUAUCUUAUAAUGCAUUCAUCAAGAGCUUUUCAUCACUAGUAUGACAGCUAUUUUUUAACAGUACAUGAUAAUAUGAGUUAUUAAACACUUCGUACCAUUAUACUUUUUGAGCUUCAAAACUUUAAAUUUUGAAGGAAUAACAAUAUCUGAGACUAAACAGAAUCCAACAGCAUACAUUAAACUAUAAAAAAUAAUUUUUUCCACUGCUCAUAACCUUUUCUUGAACCUGUUCAUUUUUUAAUCAACUUUCGAGUCCUCCAAUAACUUAACCACUUUUAACUUCAACUUUUUUUUAGAUCAUUCAGAUCAAGAACCUAAAUUAGUUCUGAAGCCUUCUUCCCAAAGACUGGAUUAACAUAACUUUAAAAAUGACCUUGGGCUGCAGUAGAUUGUAUUCUUAGGUUAAUGUAUAGAUAAGCUUAAGAGAAAUUUGCUUAUGCCCCUUAAAGAGGUUGGCCUUAAUAAGGGCUAAAUUUUAGAGGGUACAAAGAAUCAAUUAUAUCCUGUAUAGGAUGAUGUGGCUAACUUAGAGCUUCUUUUACCUUUUUUUCUUUAUUCAGCUUAUUCAGGGCUUCUAAGAUUUUAUCCAACUCCCUCUAAGCUCUUCUUGGGCUUUUUCAAUCUUGUCAAAAUAAUUAAAGUUUUCUUGUUCCAUCUGUUUAGCUUGGGCUCUAGUGUUGCACUGGUGGUGAGUGAAGUUUUUAGACGGUGGAGCUAUCUUUGAACCUUAAGUACCACAAUUAUUAAUUAGAGAACUUAUUUAUGACUUAGUGUGAAAAAUAAAAAAUUAAUUAUGAAUGUAAAGCAUGAGAGAUGAUAUUUGCCUUUUAAAGAAUUUUCAACAAAAAUAAGCUUUCAUUUAUUCUACAAAGUCUGUUUACAUAAAAUCUAUUAUUUUUAAUUUGAAAAGACAUUUGACUUGUUUGUAUUGGUCUUUGGCCUCCUCAAUGAAGUUUAACAAAUGUUGUCCAUGCUUUCUUUUUGGGGUGACUACUUGCUUAAGAGUUUCAGUCGCUUUAACCAUGUCCCCUACCUUGAUCAUUGCCUUGUUUAUAUGGGUCACAAGAUGCUCUUUGUACUUUUGUCAUCCCAAGUUUUCUUUUUUGCUAUACCAAACUUGAUAUGAUAACUAUCUAUGCUCCCUUAUAAGUGUGGUAAUGUGAUUCUUUUGCUCAUUUAAUCUCUGUUUCAAAACCUUAAUAUAUUCUCUGAGUGCUUCAUUCUCUUUUUAAGCUUUUAUGCAUUCAUCUUCUAUCUAAGAAUAUUUCAUCUUCAAUCUUUCAUUUUCACAACCCAAAUCGAUUAUGUUUAUUUCUUUAGCCUCUGCUUGGAUGUGUAACCUUUUGUGUUCUCAAUGUGAUUCCAUCAGCUCAUUAAGGGUGGUAUCACAUUCUCUAGCCAUCUUUUAGACCCAACCCUUUGUAUUUCUAUCUUAAUAGUCAUCUUCUUGUAUUUUUGGUACAUCUUUGACAAAUCACUAAUAGAUGUGUCUUGUUCCUUUAUGAUAUUUUCCAUCUUGGCCUCUUGCUUCAUUUUUUUUCUUUCAUUUUCUCUUUUUUUUGCUUAGAGCCUUUAGAUUUUUUAGUUCAAUUUGUCUAUCUUAGAUUCAAACUCUUUUCUUGUAAGUUUCAACUCUGAAGGUACCUUUUUUAUAUGCAGUUCUACUAACUAAUAAGAACCACUAAAAAUAAAGACAAUUUAUUUGCCCAUUUUUGCCCUCCAUCUCAUAUAUCCUGGAGUGGCCCUAUUAAUGAAAAACCUAAGACUCACCCUUUUAGGAUUCUUUUAAGCCUUAAUCACCUUAUCCAUCAUUGCAGUAUCUUGGGCUCACUAUAUAAAAAGUCUAAUUUAGUGAGUUUGUGUGUCAUAAGUAUGAACUGCUUAGCUUUGAACUAUCUUCAUACUAUGAACGGUGCAUAACUUGUUGCUCUAUAUAAACUUAAAAGUGAGACUUCAGUCUCAUCUCCGUACUAAUACAACAUUGAUUCAUUACUCAUCCAUGAAACCAUCCAUUUUACCUAAGUACAAGUAAGAUCUUCUAAUAGAACCAUCCAUCCCUCCUUGGAUUUAGGCUUUAGCCAUUCACUCUCACAGAACUCCUUAAUUAGGGCUCGAUUACGAAAGUAAAGCUUUAAGAAUGCAUUCUUUUUACACUCAAAAUGACUCUUGAUCUAUAAAUAUAACAAUGGUACACACUCGACAAAAUGUCAUUUUCCUUUCGGAUGAUAAUAAUUCAAGGAUCUAAUUGUUUCUACUAAGAAUACAAGUAAAGAGUUGUAACCUUUUUUUGUGUACCAAAAGAAGUCAAUCACUUCUAUCUUAAUAUGACCUAGGAUCUUGGGAAAAAUCAUUAUGCCAUAUACCACCAAAGCAAAUAUAUCCAACCCUUAGUUAUCAUUAGAAUGUUUUAUGAUGAAGUGAUAAAAAAAACUCCCAAGGUAAACAGAUAUGAUUACUUCUUUUUUAAACUUGUAUAUUCACAUCUUCUUUUUUAACCCCUAUAAGAUCGAUUAAUUUCUUAUGAAAUAUUGGUGUUUGCCUUCUAACAUAUAUCUUAUCUAGUUAUUAAAGAUGCAAACCCAUCAAUGUGGAGUAUUCUAUAGUUGAUGUCAUGUCUACCUCAUUGAAGAUCAAACACCUAUAUGAAGAAUCCUAUAAUUGCAUAACUACUCUAAUAAGGGAAUUUUCCACUACUACUGAAAGAAGAUGUGUAAUAUAACCAUACUUCUCACAGAAAGCUGACUGUCUAUACUCUUUCAUAUCUUAGAUAACUUUUCUAGGUUAUUUUGCUUGAUGAGUAGAUGAACUUCUUUUGAUAAAGUAAAGAUAUAGUCUAAUGGUAAGCAAUCUCCCUCCUUUCGUUGGAUCUUUUUUUACUCAACCUUCAAAUCAUUGGUUGACUCACAUUUAGCAAAAAUGGAUAAGGCAUAAACCAAAUAAUCUGUGGACUCCAUGAAAGUUUUUGUUGAAAUAACUUUAAGGUAGUUUUCAUAUACAAUAUUUAUGCAUGUUUUAUGAAUAUGCAAUGUAAAAAAACAAAAGCAAAGAAAUUGGUUAGUUUCAAUAUCAUGGAAACAAAGAAACAAAUUAGGUAGCACAUAGAAAGUAAAUAAAAUAUCAUGAUUCCUAAACUCUGGUUUAAUUUUAAAAGGUAAAGGGAAAGAUGGCUCUACUUAUAGGUUAAGCUUCAUAAGGUUGACUAUAUGUGAUUUAAGCUAAAUCUAAAGGUUCUCAAAUUGUUUCUCACAUCAUUGUCUAUUAUAGACUCGUAAGGCACUUCAAUCCUCACUCAUUAUAGGUUACAAAUAAAAAAGAUUCAAUUUGAGUGAAAAUGUUUCACUAACCCGAGUAGAGACAUGAAAUCUUAUGAAAAUAUAGGUAUUUAACUCUCUCCUAAAGAGCGAAGCUCGAGUAUAGAGCUCAUAUUAUGUAAAUGUAAGUGAAUGAUAAAAUAAAGUAUAAUUAUAAACAGAUAAAACAUUCAAAGAAAAAAAAAUCUUAAUUUUAACUUAGGUUUUGGAUAACACGAGUUUACUAGCAUGACUCUUAGUGUCCCUAGUGGAGUCAUCAAACUGUCAUAAUGUAUAGAUAUGUAAAUCUAUAGCUAGGCUUAAUAAAAGGACUCAUCACCAAUCUUUUUUAUUUAUGUGCAAUUAGCCUCCUAAUAAAUUCAUUUCUACGAAACUAAAAUUAAGUUUCUAAGUAUAGUUAUUUGUGAAUAAGGUAAUAGCACCUCUACAUCACACAUCCAUAAGAUGAUACCAGCUUGAUUUCGUGUUAUCCAAAAACCUAAAAAACUUACUAAGUCAUUUAAUAUCAAAAAUUAUUCCUAAAUUACUCUAAUAUGUUAGUAAUAAUUUAAAAAUAUCCCCUUACCUUAAGAGUAUUCAAAGAGAUUAUUUAUCACGCUUUGAAGAGGCUCCAUCAUCAGAUUUAUUUAAUUUUUGUAAAAAAACUUUUAUUUAUGACAAUUGAAAUUUUUAUGAAAAUCUUGAUACUGAAAAUAUUUUCUAAAUUUUUUAAUAUGUUGGUAAAAUUUAGAAAGAAUUUCUCACCUAGGAAUUUACAUAAAGAUUGCUAUUUACAAUGUUCUUAAUAAUUUCAUUAUCGGAGAUUCAAAAUCUAACUUUAAAAAAAAAACUCUUUAUUUUCAUGAACGUCCUCCAAUGUAUUGGUAAAAUUUUCUGCUAUAAAUUAUCUUCUAAUAUGUUGGUAGGAUUUUAUGAAAAUUAUUUCUUUUCUAAAAAUUAAUUUUUAUUUAAAAAUCAUUAGGCUUUCCAAUAAGUUGGUAAAACUUCAUCUUAAAAAUCAAAUUACCUUCUAAUAUGUUGGUAAGGCUUUGUUGAAAAUUAUUUUUCCUUUUGAAAUUUAUUUUUUAUAAAAAAUUAAUAAGGUUCUUCAAUAUGUUGGUAAUUUCUUAUUUUUUAAAAAAAUCAAAUUACCUUCUAAUAUGUUGGUAAGGCUUGUUGUUUUAUUAAAACAAUUAUUUUAAGAAAAUUUGAGCUCUCCAAUAUAUUGGUAAGGUUCUUUUUAUUUUAUUUAAAAAAAUAUUUUUUCUCUUUUUUUAAAAUAAUAUUUACAAAUAAAUGACAAACAAAUAAUAAACAGAAACAUAGAUGGAAAACAAAUAAAUAGAUAAAUAAAUAACUAAACAUAAAUGAAAUAAAUAAAUAAAAAUACCAAGAAAAUGGCUCAGCUUGGCGGUUUAAAGAAUGUGGCUUAAGGCACAUAGACACGGCUUAAACAGCUAGGAAGUGACUCAAAAUUCAGUUCAGCUCGACUCAAAAGUAUCUAAAGGAAUCAGGUCAAGUGCGCUACAAAUCGAGUCGACGCAUGGAUCCUUCUCAAGUUAACACGCAGAUCUUAAAUCUUUUUAAUGCAAAUGGACGUCGUAUGGAUGAACUAUAAAAGGCCCAAAAUUUCUUUUUUUCUUAGAUUUUUUUUCCCUAUCUCUUUCUUUUCAGACUUUUCUUUGCUUUCUCUCUUUAACCGAUAAAAACACCAGUUGAAUCUCUUCGCCGUAUUUUGGAAAACCAAACCAAAAUAUGGGUUUUCCAAAAUUUUCUAAAAAAAAACCUUCCAAAUCCUUUCUAUCUUCUAAAAUUCCCCAAUAACACUAGAUCAACCAGAUUUUCUAAAAGGUUGUGUAUAAUCUCUACUAAUUUGUUGUGAUUUUUUUGCAUCUCUUUUUGUUGAAUUUGGGUUCGUAUUUAUAAAGUUUCAAAUUAUGAGAACAUUAUACCAAAAAAAGUUUCAAUUUCCCUUUAGUUCCAACUUUAAACUUUGAUUUUAACCCAAACUUUAUAAUCCCAAAAGAAACAGUCACGAACAAACUCAACCACCCCAAACUUUCCUGAUAGUUCCUUUUUCAUUUUUUUAACAAUAAAAUUAAACCUCAGACAAAAUGAGGUGUCUACAAUAUUAAAAACAAUUUAUUCUUCAUUUAUUUUUAUGUAAUGUUAGUUUACACACACAAAAUUCAAAUAUUAAAUAUUUUAUCCUUUUCUUAAAAUAUAUGAGUUUAAAUAAAAAUAAUAAUAUGAAAAUUCAAUAUAUUAAUUUCAAGGUUUGUAAGUAUUAAUUGUUUUUUGAAUAAAUUAAUAUAAAAAUUAGAAUAUGAAGGGUUAGCAUAUUUAUCUAUAUAUAUAAUUAGAUUCCAAAUAAUAAAUAUGUUAAUUAAUGAUGCAUAAAUGUUACAUAUUAAGUUGUUAGAGUGUGUUUGGUAUAUAAGAUUGUGAUAUGAUAGAAUAAAAUGAUAUUAUGAAUAAGAUUAAAUUAAAUAAUAUCAUCAUAUUUUGUAUUUAAUCUGUGCAAAGAUUAAGAAAUGAUAAUUUAUUUAUUGAUCAAAAUUAUCUUUUCUUAAAAUUUAUACAAUUUAAAUUAUUGAUAUAAUUUGUAAGGAUAUAAUAGAACAUAAAAGUUUAAUCUUAUAGAUUAAAAAUAAUCUUUUUCAUUUUAGGAAGAUUGAAUUAUCCUAUGCCAAGAAAAAAAAUGAUAAUCAUCCUAUCUUAUCAAUUAUCUUAUACAUCAAACAUGACCUUAAUUCAUUAUUUAUUUAAAAUAAAAAGUAAAUUAUAAAAUGUUAGAAUAUUAUUCUUUUAUGUUUUCAUGUUUUAAUAAUUAAUGAUUUUAAAAUAAAAAAGAGAAAAUUAUAUAAAUUAACUUUCAAACUUUCAAUAUUUUCUACCAACAAAACAAAUUAAAAUGAUAGGAUAAAGAAAAUCUAUAAAUAUUAUCAUAUUAAUUUUAAUCUUUUCAUAAUCAAUUUAUUUUUAAAAACUUUUUACAUUUUACUAACAAUUGAAUUUAAGAAAAAUGAUAGAGAUACAAAAAGUCAUAAAAUAUUAUAUUAAUUUUAAUAAAGGGAUCAAAUUAUACAAUUGUAAAAUUAAUUUGUUUUACACUCUUUAAUAACUCCAUACAUGAUAAAUACUUUUACAAAUCGACCAUUAGAUUUAACAAUCUACUUGUAACUAUCAUUCAUGUAAAGUUUCAAGUCAAUUCAAUAUUCCUAUCAUUUCGAAUGCAAGUAAUAUUGUUUUGAAUAUACAUUAAUGAUUAAAAUUUUAUUAUUAUCACACAAAUAGAUUAACAAAUAUUUUAAAUUUACUCAAAAUUUGGCAAUGCAUGAUUUACUUAAAUAGAACACAAAAUUCAAUGGUUGGAUUAACAAAUAUAAAUUGUAUAAAAAGAUAUGAAACGGUUCAAAUUUAGUUUUACACAUAUCUAGGUGGAUCUCUCUUCAUUUUUUGUUUUCAUAUUUCUUUAUUUAGUGAUUUUAAAAUAAAUAUUUGAAAAGAAAAAGAAAUAUAAAUUAUCCUUACGUUAAAAAGUCUCAUAUUCUACUAGUUACUUAAAUUUAAUUAAUAGUAGAAAGACGAAAAGUGACAAAUCAUUAUUAUAUGAAUUUCAAUUUAUACAUAUUUUAUGAAUUAAGGAUUUAAAAAUAAAUUUUAAAAAAAUAAAAAAUAUAAAUAAAUUUUAUUAAUUUUUCAUUUUUUUUUUCUACAGAUUUUCAGUAUUUCAUUUGUCUUUAAUAAUAAUUUUUUAAUAUGAUAGUUAUUUUAUUUUUUUUAAACUUUAUUUUUUCAAAAAAUUAAUCAUGCUAAACACAGAUAAAAAAACCUAAUGUAUAAUAAAUUUCAUAUCAAUUAAGUCAAUUAAGUUUGAGGUAUUGUGAACAUAUAUUUAAAAAUAAUCUUUUAAUCAGACUAAUUUUUAAAUUAAUUAACAUAUUAUUAAAAUUAACAUUUAAAUAUUGUAAGUUCGAAGAAAAUUUAUAAGCAUAAUAUGUUCUUUAGUUGGAUAAAUAUAAGGGUUUGAAAAUGGCUACGCAGGUAUCUCAUCUUUCUUACUUAGUAGUGUCAUGGUUUUGCCCUAUUGGCAGAAUCGGUUCACUCAGCCGAUUGCCAUUCUGCCAAAGGCGAGCCCAACCGUAACUAUCCAAAUGUUUCCUCAUGCCUUUAAUCUAGUGUUCUCUAUGUGCUCCGAUGUCUUUUUCUUGAUUGACUUAUGAUAUCUUGAUCGACUUAAUGAUAGUGAAAAAGAAUAAUAUGAAUUGAAAUGAUUUUUUUUUUGUUCAAAACAAACGAAGAUCAGAUUUUUAGUAUGAUUUGACUUGCAAUUUGAUGUAAUUUUUGUUUUUUAAGUUAAAUUUGAUUUAGGUGUUUUAUUUUUUUAUUUAAUUUAAUAUUUUUAUUGAAUAAUAAGAUUUUUAUUUGAAUUUUUAAAUGCGGAUUCUGACUUUCUUUUUUGUUUUUGGAUAGAUUUUGUAUUAGAUCAUGAAUUAAUUUUUAAGUUAGAAUUUAGAUGAAAGUAAUUUUUUUGUAUAAUUGGGAUGUUAGUUUUUGUUCAACUUGGGAUUGUAUUAGAUUUUUUUAGAUAAAUUAAAUAAGAAUUUUGGUAUGAUUUUGGUUAUCUAAAUUUUUAAGGAUUGAAUCUCCAAUUAUUUUUAUGAAAUAAUUCAUCUAUUCUAAUUGUAAAUUUUUUUUAUGAUUUACGGGAAUUAAUUGAUUGAAUUACUAUUGUUAUCCUGUUAGUGUUGUUUUCAAAAUGAUAAUUAGCACUUAGCUUUGGAUUAUAACCUUUAUGCAAAGUGGAAAAUUUUAUAAAGUACAGUGAAAUGUUGAUUGGGACCAAUGAUGGAAUAGCUGAGAUUUUUUUUUUUUUUUUAAUUUAUAACUUUUUUGGAUUUAAAAAAAAAAAGUAAAUUGUUGAAAAAGAAAGAAAAAAGUUUUAAAAAAAUCACAAUUUAAAAAAAAUUAAUAAAAUAAAUCAUAAAAUAAUUAAAUAUUAACUUUUAAAUUUUAUAAAACACUUUCAAUCCCUCUUAAAUAAUAAAAUGAUUUUAUGUAAUUUACCUAAAAAAAACCAACCUACCAUCGAAAUAUCUACCAAGGCAAGAAUGGACAAAAUUAUGGCAUUUUGGAAGAUAGUGAUGAAUUGACCAAGUAAAACAGCGGGUGGUUUCCAAAUCGGCAACGAUCUAAAUCAUGUGCCUUAUCCAUCUUACCAAACGGGACUAUCACAGAUAUUUCAUAUUCCUCCAAUGACGGACAACAGUCGGAUUCUAUGUUAAUAUUAAAUAAAAAUUAUAUUUUGCCCACUCUAAAAUAUAAUUUUUAUUUAUUAAUUUAUUUAAGGUUAAUGUUAUAAAUAAUUUUAAAUUAUAAUCAAAUAUUUAACAUAAUAUAUAAAUUUUAAAAUAUCUAAAUUAAUAUGAUAUUUAAAAAAUUAUUUAUUUAUUAUAUAUCAUUAUUUAAAAUUAAAUGUAAUAAAAUAAAUAUCAUAUUAAUUAAUAAAUUUAUAAUUUAAAUUUUAUAUUAAAAAUUUUUAAAAUUUAAAUAUUAUAUUAAAUAUUUUACUAUAAUUUAUAAGCAGUUCAUAAUAUUUAUUUUUUUAUUUAUUAAUUUUUUAUAUUUUAAUCUUAUACAUUGUAAAUUAAAAUGAGUUAAAAUUACAUUUUUAUUUAUUUAUUUAUUGUGCUCAUUAAUUAUUAUUUAUAAAUUAUAAAUUAUCAAACCUCGAAGGAUAAGAGGUGUCUUUCAAACUAAAAGGAUAAAUAUAUUUUCUAUCAAAUUCAAGGAUAAUAAUAAUAAUAAUAUCACAUGUGACGAGCAAUCGAAUAGUUCAAUUGUAAACUAUUCUUUAAUUAAAAGUUAUUUUCACUUGAUGGCAAUUUUAAUAUAAUACUCCACGUACAAAAUUUUUUCAAAAACCAUUUUUAUUUAUUUUACUCUCCUCUGCUCCAACCAACUAUUUUUCUCCCUUCUUUCUACAUCCAAAGAAAAAAAAAAUUAAUACAGUAGCAAGUUGUCAACAACUUAAUUGUAAUGUAUGUAUAGAUUGAUGUAUAGAUAACAUGCUUAAUUCCUUCAAUUAAUAUAUUAUUUUAACUUAAAAUCUUAAUUAAUUUAAUUGAUUUUAAUUUUAAAAAAAUCAUGAAUUUCAUUGUAAAAGCUCUAACUUUAUCUUACCCUACUUGAUGAUAUUAUAUAAAGAUAAUGUCACAAAUUGCUCUUUAAUUAUAAAAAAAAAAGAUUAAUAUGAUAUUUGAAUUUUAAAUAUUUUUAAUAUAGUAUUUGAACAAUGAAUUUUUUAAUUAAUGUGGUAUUUGAAGGUUGUUUGUCAAUUUUAUAUCACUAUUUAAAGCUAAUAAUAUUAAAAAUGAAUAUCAUAUUAAUUAAUUAAUUCAUAAUUAAAAAUUAUUAAUUCUUUUAAUUAAUACUCCAUUUCAACUUAAAAUCUCAAUUAAUUUAGUUCAUUCUAAUAAAAAAGUCACAAAUUUCUUUGUAAAAGCUCGAACUUAAUGAUAUUAUAUAAGAAUAAUCUCACAAAUGUUUCUUGAACUAUGAUGAAAUGUUUAAUAUGAUAUUUAAAUUUUAAAAAUAUUUAAUGUAAUACUAAAAUUAUAAAUAUCUUAACUAAUAUAAUAUUUUAAAAUUUAUUUAUCAAUCACAUAUUAUUAUUUUGAACUAAAUGAUAUUAGGGUAAAUAUCAUAUUAAUUAAUAAAUUCAUAAUUUAAGUAGCACAUUAAAAUUUUUUAAAAUUUAAAUAUCAUAUUAAAUAUUUCAUUAUAAUUUAAAAUUUAUUUAUAAUAUUAACCCUAUUAUAUAUUCCUCAAACAAUUCUUCACUUUUAAUUAUUGUGUUUUAAAUAUCACCUAAAAAAUUAUUGUGUUUCAAAAGAAACUAUUUUGUAUUGGAAAAGAUUUUCCAUUGUUCAUAUCCAAGGCAUUUGUUUUGUGAAUACAAGAAAGCAUUUAAUUUAAUUUGCAAAUCAAAAUAAUUUGUGAAUAAUGGUGAGGCUUGCAAGUUCAAAUUGUUAUUAGACAAAAAGAUCAAGUUUUUUUAAAGAGAAUUAAUUAUUUACCAUUACAUAAAAUUUUUAAAACAUAAUCUUAAUAAAUAUUUUUAAUACUCUAUUAUAAUAAGGAUUAAUAUUAAAAGAUUAAUAUAAUAUUUAUAUAGCUAUUUAUUUAUCAUAUAUUAUUAUUUAAAAAUAAUUAUAUUAUCAUAAAUAUCACAAUAAUUAAAAUUUUUAUAACUCGAAUGUCAUAUUAAAAAUUUUAAAUAUUUAAUAUUAUAUUAAAUAUUUUUUUAUUAUUUAUAAAUUUUCAUAACAUUCAUCUUUAUAAUAAUAAUAAUGAAAUAAUUUCAAGUAAAUAAUUUCGAGAGCCGACAAGAAUUUGUGAUUAGAUUUCAUUUGAUUUGAGAUAUUAAGUUAUUAAAAAUAUUUUAAAUUUAAUUUUAUAAUAAAAAUAUUAAAAUUUAAUAUUUUAAAAAAUUUUGGACCUAUUGAAUCCAACACUCCGGAUUUCGGACCACACCUCAAACAUUAUCUUAAAAAGCUGACCGAACUUUGACCUGGCCAACCUGACACAUCUGCAGCUCUAAUCCCGACUUCCCAAGUGGGCUAAUUGCCAUAAUACCUUUGUUUUUGCUUUUGAUAUGUUUGUCCAUAAUAAAGUUAAUAACAUGUUAUCAGUCUCAAAAAAGUUUUAAUUAAUUAGUUAUUUUUUUAGGAAUUAAUUAAUUAAGUUUUAGAUUAAUCUAGUUUCUUCUUCGGCCGUCAAAGAUUAUAGAAAAGCUAUCAUUGUCCAUUAAAAGACAAAAUUGCUUGACCUAAACGGCUUUAUCAACAAAAAUAUAUAAAGAAGGGAUAAUACCUAAUUUGACACCUAAACUAUCAUAAUUUUUCUAAUGUGGCAUCUAAAUUUAAAAAAUUAGUAAUCAAAUACUCAAAUUUUAAUUUUAUAUAUUAAAUUAUCCUAAUCUCUUAUCAUUAUUAAAAUAAUAUUUAAAUAAUAUUUAAAUAUUGACGUGAAUGAUAUAUAAUUACCAAUAAUAAUGAUGUGAUUAUCACGUUAUUUUUAAUAAAUAACAACUUUUUUCUUAAAAAUUAUAUUUAUUUUUUUUAAAUAAUGCAUAAAAAUCAUAUCUAGAAUAGGGAAUGGUUAGGGUAGAGUAAAGUAAAACACUUCUUAUCUCCAUCGAUAAAUUUUUAUAUUAUACUCAUUUUUAUAUUCAUAUCUUUUGAGUAUUUUAAAAUUAUUCAUAUUCACACCCUCACGUAAAAAUAAGUAUGAGUAAUCUUUAUAUUUAUAAUUUUAAAAAAUUAAAAACUAAAAUUUUUUAAAUUUUUAAAUUUUUAUCUUGUAUAUUUAAGUAAUUUUUUAGAAAUAUAUAUUAAUAGUUUUCAAUAAAAAUAUAUUAAUUUUAAUUAAUCUAAAAUAAUAAUUUAUGUAAUCAAUUGAAUUCGAAUCGAUACAGUAUUAAGCUUAAGUUUGAGCUUAAUUCGAAAUUUGAAACUCAAAUUUUGACUCUAACUUGAUCAAAUUUUAUUUUUUUAGUUCAAGUUCGACCCAAGAUAAAAAUCAAACUACUUAAACUCGUUUAAUUAAACUCAAUUAACAUGUAAAAAUAAAUUCAAUUUUUAUAUUUAAUAAAUUUUUGAUUAUUUAUAUUUGAGUUCAAGAUAUUUUAUUAAUUAAAAUAUAUUAAAAUAUAAAAACUCUAUUAAACUAUAUUUUAAUAUUUUAAUAUAUUUUAAUUAAUAAAAUAUCUCGAACUCGAUUUAAUUAAUAAGUCAAUUUACUUAAGCUUGAGUUCAACUAAAUAAUAAUCGAAUUGAAUUUAAAUUUUAUUCGAAUCAAAUCCAAAUAAUUUAUUGUACUAAUAUAUCAGUUACAUCUUAUGUACGAUAUGAGUGCAAUAUUACCUAUUUCUAAUCCUGUAACUAAUAAAAAUUUAAAAUCAUACAUAUUCUCAUCUCCAUACUCACAAUAUAAUAUUUAUCUCUAGCUUUAUUCAAGUAAAAAAUUAAAUUUUUCAUUGAAUAUGAAUAAAAUUGAUAUUUUUAAUUUAGAUCACGUUACAAUCAUGUGUUAUUUAUAUCAAUAUUUAAAUAUCAUAUUAAUAUUAUUUUAAUAAUAUUAAAGGUUGAGACAAAUUAAUAUUCGUAAAAAUAGUUUAAGUACUUGAUUACAAAUAUUUUUUAUUUAGAUAUUACAUUAGAAAAUAAAUAAAAUAGUUAAGGGAUCAAAAAAAUAGUAUCCCUGUAAAAAGUAAGUACUGCUGAAAAAAUCAUUAUUAUUAAUUUUCUAAUAUUUAAUUGGAUGUUUUGAACACAAGAAAAACUAAAACAAAACAAAAAGCUUUCUCCGUUUCGAUAUUGUAUUCGAACUAAUUGCACAGGAUCUUUAAAACAAUCUGAUGAAAUAAGAAAUUACUAUCAUCAGAUUUAAAAAGCAUCAAUUUUGAAAGCAGAAUCCCCAGAUUCAUAUAUUCUCUCUUUAUUUUGGUUUCUCUCCCUAUUUCUCUUGUGCUAAUGGAAGCUGAUGUAUCCAUUCCCUUCUGAACCCCCAACAAAAUCAAAUCCCUUCCUUUAGACAGAGAAUUAGGGUAUUUUAUUUGAGGUCGAAUUUAUUUUUGGUAAUUUUUGGAUUAAGAUGAAUCGUGCUGUGGUAUUAUUAUUAUUAUGGGUUCUCUGUUUAUUGAGUGUUUGUUGGAUGACGUCAGCCGGUGUUGUGUUGAUUGGAAGCAACGUUACCCUCUCUUUUGAUGCUAUUGAAGCUAAUUUUGGUAAGCUUUUUUUUUUUCUUUUUUAAAUUUAUUUUCGAUUUGUUCUGUUUAGUUCUUGAGUAAGUGUGGGAAAAUUCAGGAAAUUUUGGAUCUUUAGGUAUUCUAAGAGCUCAAAGUUGAAUAUGUGUUUUCUUAUUUGAGCUGAACUUAUUUAAUUUGAUUGAAUAUGUUAUUUUAUCUUUUGUUUGUAUAAACUGUGCAUGAAAUGAGAAAUUGAAGUCUAUUGGUGUUGAAAAUAUAAGUGAAUGUUUGUUUUACGAUUUUGUUUUGUUGGUAAUUUUCAGCUCCAGCAAUUAAAGGGUCAGGGGAAUGUGGGGUAUUAUAUUUGGCAAAGCCUCUUGAUGCGUGUUCGGAUUUGAGUAAUAAAGCUGAAAAAGUUUCGAAUGUUACUUCCCCUUUUGCGUUGGUUAUUAGAGGAGGGUGCAGUUUCGAGGAGAAAGUAAGGAGAGUGCAAAAGGCAGGAUUCAAAGCCGCCAUCGUCUAUAACGAUGAUGAUGAUGGUGUCUUGGUUGCAAGUAAUGCCCUGUUUCUUUGAAAAACAUCUUUUAUAUUGAAUGAUUGCAAUUGCAUAUUUAUGUACAUUUUGGUAAACUUGGUUUGCAAGAGCAAUUUGCUGCCAAUAAUCAUUAUUGGAACACUAUGUAAAUGAUAAAAUAGACCCUUUUUGUGUCAAUAAAUUCUGGGAGAUCUUUAACAGGAUUUGCUAAUAUAAAUAAUAUUGUAAAUCCUAAAAAACCUGUUGUCCUCUUUGAAUUUCCUUUUGACCUUAUUUGUCCCUAAAUCUUGAUUGCAUCAGUUUAAUUACUCAUCUUUUGUUUAACCCUUUCAGACAUUUUGACCAUAAGCAUUCUCACAUAUGAUGUAUUUGUUGAAUGGUAGGUUGGUGUGAUUUGCUAGUCAUUAAACCAUAUUUAUGUUUUCUGAAAACAUGAGUAACCUCAUGGACCACAAAUUUAAUUUUGUAGAAUAUGCUUUUCAUCUUUAGUAGGGAUUGGGCUGAUGUAGUUGUUCGGCAAAGUUUGAUAAGGAAGAAGUUGGAGAAAUGUGCUUUGCAUGAUCUAGAGUCCCUAGUUAACUCCCACUAGUAAAUAUUGUUUUCCUAUAGAUAGAAAACUUUUCAUCUUACUCUAAUUUAUCUGGUCUCCUAGAUAAAAUUCUGUACUUGGUUCUGUUUCUGAUGCAUAUAAUUUUGUGAACAAUUUGAAUCCAUCGAUCUUGGCAGACAAAAAUUGCAAAUUUUUUUCCAUUUUAGUCCUCCUGCAUUUGCCACAUACUUGUAAAAUUAAUUGUAUAUUAUGUGAUUCUUCAAAGCAGUAUGCAUAUUAUACCACUUAAACAGUUUAUUAUGAUAACUCGUCAUGCUUAUAUCUUCAGUUCUUUAGAUUUAGUUCUUAGUUAGAAACAUGUUACACCUAUCAAACUGUAAAUACCUUAAUCAAUCACACCUUUAAUUGCCGAAUCAUCUCCAACAAGUAAAUACUUUUUGGAUGUUGGAUUUACUGUCUGGAAGAUAACUUUUUUGCUAGGGUAGAUUGCAAAUGACAGUGGGUGAUGAAAUUAAAGAUGUGUUAUAUGGGACAGUGGUGUAUUUAUGCUGGACUCUGAAUGCUUUCAAGAGGAGUGAGAAUUAGGACCAAAUCUUUACCAUCAUUUAAUUUAAUUCAUCUACAUUUAUAAAUAUUCUGCCCUUAUUCAUUUAGACAUAUUUUUGUUCCGUUGCAAAUUCCUUUAUUAUUUUUAUUUUUAAUAUUUCCUUGAGUGGCAGAUGUUUAUUUGUUUCAGUCAUUGUUGUUGUUCUUGAACAAAAAUAUACUUUUCUAUAUGAUGCCUCUAAUUUUACCCUUUUUUUUAUAGUGGCUGGGAAUUCAGCUGGCAUAAAGAUACAUGCUGUCUUUGUUUCCAAAGCCUCUGGUGAAAUACUCAAAAAGUAUGCUGGGUCUACUGCUAUGGAGUUAUGGCUAAUCCCUAGUUUUGAAAACUCAGCAUGGUCGAUCAUGGCCAUCUCCUUUAUUUCUCUACUUGCCAUGUCAGCAGUGCUGGCAACUUGUUUCUUUGUACGUAGGCAUCGCAUUAGACGAGAACGCCCUCAUUCUUCUCGAGUUCGUGAAUUCCAUGGAAUGAGCAGGCGUUUGGUAAAAGCAAUGCCUAGCUUGAUAUUCACUGUGGUCUUAGAAGAUAAUUGUACAUCUAGAACGUGUGCAAUAUGUCUUGAAGAUUAUACCGUGGGAGAGAAACUCAGGAUUCUUCCAUGUUGUCACAGUAAGCUUCUUACAACACUGAGGAUGACAUUGCUUGCUAUUUUUGUGUUAAUUAUAUUUAUUUUAAUUUGGUGGCCAUGUGUCCUUUUGUAUGUAUUUUGCAUAGAGAUUAGGCCAUCAAUCUCAUGAGACAUUUUUUGUUGGUGGCUAUCAUAUUUCUAUUGUUUCCCAAUGGCUGUUUGCUGUUUGCACUAGCACAAAUUUAGCUUUAAGAGGAGAUGAAAACUAUUUGUUCCAUUUGAUUUAGAAGCAUUCAGAUACUAAUAAUUUCUUCUCAAUGAGUUCAAUAAUAAUACACAGUGCACUUGAGAUAAUAAUUCUGAUUAGUAUCCCAUUUUAAAAUCAAAACUCAAAUAUGGGAAGCUAGGGAGUAAAUGGACAUUGUUUCUGAGUUUCGCAUAGACCAGAAAAUAUUGUUGUAGACUUGUAGUGCACAGCUGUGAAUUCACAAUAGCUUUUGUAGCCAUACGCUUGAGGGGUUUAUCUAACUUCUCUUCUCAGGAAUUGUUCUUUGUUAUUAUAAAAAGAAUAUUUCUUGAAUGAUUAAAGCAAAUGUCAUUAGCAGGUCCUUUGCAUUCUUAUUCUAAAAUUCUCAAAAGACAUAAGUUAGAGUUGAGUGGGAAAAUGGAUUCAUAUAUAUAGUUGUCCCAAAUGUUGAAAUUUGAUUAUCAUGUGAUAUUUGCACGUCCUAAAUCUUAUAUCUCUUAAAGAAAUCCAAAUUACAAUUGAUUACAGAAUGCAUGCAGACUUACAUGUGCUCACCUCCAUUUAUUCUUAUAUCACUUGUUUGCUGUCCUGAGAUAAUUGUUUAUUCCAUUCAUUUAAAGACACAGAUAUACUCUUUGAUGACUCAAGACUGGAGGAGAACGUUUGUAUUACUAUUAUUAUACAAAAAAUUUUUCUUGUUAUGUUACGUAAUUACUAAUGUAUCUCUAAGAUCUUUGCCUUCAAAAAGAUUUUUAAGUAAAUAGUGUUGCAUUGCUUGGUCAAUCAAGCUCUUAGGGUGUGCUUGAUAGAGUAGAAAAGUAGAAGGAUGGAUAGGGGGUGGAAAAUCUGAAAGAAAAUGACUAUUGGGUGUGCUUGGCAAGAGAGAAAAGUGAGAAGAAAAAAAUAGGAAAGAUGUUCAUUUUUCACCCUCAUUCACAAGAAACAGACCAUUCCAAAUCGGAAAGAUAGGAGAAGAGAAAAUGAGAAAGAUUUGAGUCAAGUGUGCUUAUUUACAAGAUCAUCUAUAAUUUUUUAGAUUUUAUCUUGUUAUCGUAACUUAAGUAAAGUAUAAUGGUAAAAUAAUAUAAUUAUUGUAUUCCUUCUUCUCAUUUUUUAACCAUACCAAGUAAUGGAUGAAAAGAAAAUUACUUUUCCUUCCACAUUUCCAUUUUUCCUACUAACCUUAAUAUAAAAGAAAACAUAUAUUUUCCAUUUUUUUUUCACUUUUCUCUCCCUUCAAUUUUCUAUCUUUUCAUUUUUCUAUCCACUCUUAGUUCUGCUACAUGAGCUUUUUGUUUGUAGUAAAUAUUGCUAAUAUUUUCCCUAUUUGUCCAAUUGUUGCUUCCUUCUCAGUGACUAAGUAGUGUCAUGUUCAAGGUAGUGAUAUUAGGCUCCAUGAUUUCUGUUGGUCUGAGUUUUGGGUUUGUUUAUCAUUUUGGUAAAAACAAAUACAUGUGUAUGACUUCUUUGAGUGUAGCCAUUACCCUUAAGAUAUUUUGUUUGAAUUGUAAAAAAGACUUUCAAAUUAUAAGGUGUUUUGUAAUGUUUGAAAGAACACGAUACAAGAUCAAAUGCCAAAGAAAUCUAGAGUUGUGGUCUGUUCUUAAUGUUGGACUAAUCCUAAUUCCUACAUACCUUUCUUUCUUUUAUUCUAAUUAUCUUUAAGAAAAAGUUGUUUGAAUUGUAAGGAAGACCUUACAAUUUGGAUGUGGUUAUGGAUGGGGGAAAGAACAAUAAGCAAUAUUAAUGCCAAAGAAAUAGGGGUCUUGAUCUUUACCUGAUGUCAAAACUAAUAUAGAAUCUUAGCCAGCUGGCUUAGUUAUGAUAAGUUUUAAUUUCAUGCAUGUUUGUGCUAGGAAGUAGUAAAUUUUAUUUAAUCUGAUUAUUUCUAUAAAUUUAUGAGUCAAGAUUCUUCUGGUAAUUUUCAGAUUUUCUGGAAAUUGCAAAGUGUGUAGUCCAAGAGGCUUAUUAUUUUGGGAUUUUAUUUAGAGCAUAGGAAUUUUUUUUAAAAAGUUGACUCCAGUUGGAAAAUAUCCUUGUUGGUUUAGGUUAUCUGGAAGUCUAAACUGCUUCCAAUUAAUUAUAUCACAUUUAGGAAAAAUUUUAGCAGCUGUUAUACUUUUAUUAGGAUUGCAUUUUAGUAACCCUAGCUCAAGGUGAAAAUCCACCAGAUGCCAGGUUGUGACUUGUAAGGAUAUCUCGGUGUCAAGCCUAGACCUUAUCUUGUUUCUUUUUAUUAUUAAAUUUCCCACUCUGUUUAGGUUUAAAACCAACCCUUCUCUGUCCUGCAUGAAUUAUUUUUUUGUUAUAUUUUAUGUUGUGAUUUUCAAGAAUAUGAAAUACUGCUUCUAAGAAGCAGUCAUGAAAUAUGUAUGAAUUGUGUCCUUAUCAUCCCCUCCCUCGAACAAAUGUAGCUUGAGGAAAAAUUAAAAGAAAUAUAUCAAUUUUACAUCAGUUAUUUAUUAUUUUUUAGUUUUAUUUGGAGCACCAUGAGUUGGGAAUGUAUACCCUUGCUAUCACUCUUGCCUUCUUAAUAGUGACAUCUAGAAAGCUUCUUCAACUUCUUACUUGGUUUGUUUACUUUAUUUUUAUUUAUUGAAGUUUAUACUUUAUGUGUAUAUCUGAAUAUUUAUUGGCAUUUUUUUCUCAGAGUUUCAUGCUUUCUGUGUUGAUUCUUGGCUUACGACGUGGAGAACUUUUUGCCCUGUUUGCAAACGAGAUGCAAGAACUAGCCCAAGUGAUCCACCUGCGUCAGAAAGUACACCAUUGCUUUCAUCCACCCCAAGCUCCAUGUCUUCCUCUGUGUUGUCAUCUGUUAGAUCCUCAUUAGCAUCAUCAUCAGCCAUACAAAUCGCCCCUGAAGCAUCAUGGUCUCCAUCAGUUUCUCAUACUCAUUCUCUUGUCAGUAGUCCAUAUAUUCCGCAAUCACUUGGGUCCUACCAUCAAUCUCCUUCCAUGAGCUAUAGCCGAAGCUCAGUAGAUCUUAGGAACACAUACUCUCAAAGAUCUCAUGCUUCUCAUUUGGUUUCACCGGCCUCAUUUAAUUACCCAUCUAUAUCACCUCUUAAUGCAAGAUACAUGUCCCCCUGUUUACCAAGCCCAAGCAACGCGUCACCAAAUUUAGUGAGUUCUUCUGGUCACCACCUGCAUCCACUGCAUUACAGUGAGUCAGCUACUAGUUUUUCGCCUUUUGCAUCUGCUCAUUCUCUUCCAGAAUGUUAAUUAGAUGAAUAAUAACAAGCUGAAUUUCAUAUAAUGGAGUGAGCUACAUACAUUAAAUCUUUCCGAUCUUUGGUACUAAUCAUAGGUCAUUAUACCAUUAUCGGGCUCCUCUUGAUGUGAUUGCUUGCGUUCUUUUCCAAUGUCGAGAAUGUAACAUGUUGUUGCUGGAUUUGUACCUUGUUGCAUGAGAUUUGUGUCAUUUGUCUUGAUUCCCAAAAUGAUAUUGUGGUUUAUAUUAAUGAGGUUUUGAAAGUUUAUACUCAGAGAAUGUGUAUUAAUGUGAGUAGAGAAUUGUUAACAUUGUUUUAGCCGUCUGUGAAUAUAGUUAACCCUUAACAACUGAAUUCUGUAGAUGCCUAAUCAUGUUGAUAUUAGCAGUGUGUUGUUUCCAAUUUGGAUUUUCUUUUUCCAAAUGUACAAGUAACCUUAAUUUUCCACACUAAUAAUUGUUGAUGCUUUGAAGAGGAAAAAUGUGUUAAAAUCGUUUUACAUACCUUGCUUUGUUGGGGAAGAAAGGAGAGAAAUCUAUUGUAAACUUGCAAGAGCAUCUCAUUUUAAUGUCAAUGAAUGCUGCCUGUAAAAAUUCCAAGAAAAAAAAAACUGGGGGAUAUAAAGGUAAAAAAGUUUUGAAGGCACCCAGUUCUCAAUAGCAUUCUACUACUUAGAAGUUGAGAGUUCUCUGCUUUUGCUCCUAGAUUAAUGUAUGGUUGAGUCAAAUGGUAAAGAGUGUGGGUUUUUUUUUUUUUUUUGUCUGUGUUCGUAUUCGUUGGGAGAUUGUGGGAAGAUAAUUUUUCAUGAAUUCAUUAACUUCGAUAUAAAGAAGUCCGUUUGGACUAACUCAAAGAAGAAAUAUACUGAUCCAAGCUCACAAACUCUUUACGGCUAAAUAGAAAAACAAGAAAAGACACACCAUACACUUCCUGUAACAGAACUAGAUUGAAAUGAAACAAUUAUUGUACAUCACUUGAUUCAUCAAAAAAAUAGUACAUUAUUGAAGAAAAAUUGCAAAGCUAUGGAAAAUAAAGAAAAUAAUAAACCCAUGAAUGUGCAAUAACAGUGUUCAGAGGAAAGAACAAGGACUGUUGAUAAAUACAUACCAUUACUCCUUAACACUCAAGUUCUUGAAACAAGACUGCCUGCAUUGAACACAGCAAAAUACAUGUCGAGAAAGCAGGAAUAAUCGGUUUCAGCAUAGCAUUGUUAACAGGUUUGAUCCCUGCACAACAACUCUAUUUCAUACGUAUCUUUUUCUGUUGCUAUAUCUCAACCAGGAAGAUGCCUAAGUUUAAUCUUCUUUCUUAGCUCCAUAUGACUGCUUUCAGCCUCAGAGCUCUUAGCAUGAUCAGCCUCAUCUCGACUGCCAACCCGGAGAGGUUCGUGGUCUUUACCAAUACUUUGUAUAAGGAUCAUCAUUGCAACGAUAAAGACAAUUAUGUAAACAGUUCUAAUGCCAAUUAGUGAAUUGAUAAAGCCCAUAAAUGAUGCCCCGUUUUCCUUUCUGUUCUUCCUUUUCUAUAUCCUUCAGGAACAGUGAGAUUUGAGGCCCCUGAUCCUCGUUAUCAAGGCUUUCAAUACCAUUAACCUUGCAUAUCAACAAAAUGUAGUAGGUCAGUGAACGUGAUUUAGUUUUAUAGCCUUUUCUAGAUGAAUAUGAUCAACUAUUAUAGAAUAUCACUCUUAGUUCUAAUGAUCAGGAUUCAAAUCUUGAUAACCUCAAAUGUAAGAAAUAUACAUGUUGAAACGUCAAGGAAGAAGCCACCACGAACAACAAUCAUACAUUUUCUAGAUGAAGACGAUCAAUCAUCAUAGAAGAAACCCAACUCCAGCACUUACUAGCUUUUAGAAACAAUUUUAUUGGUUCAAAAGAUAUAGGGAUAAUGAAUUCAAGGAAAACUCAAGAAACAAUUAUUAAAAUUUGGAAGCAGAAUCACCAAUAGCAAGCUCUAUAAUUUCAGAGUUUGCAAUUUGGAUGAAGACAUUUAAGAAAGUAGAUAGAUAGAUAAAUACAUGUAUACAUACAUACAUACAUACUAAUCUUUAUUUAUGAAGAGAUAAAAACAAGAGUUCUUUUCAAUACUGAGUAAAAGCUAAAAAAAGGGUUUAAUAACAGUUAAAGAAUUAAAAAUGUAUUUGAUAAGAUAUUUAUUGACUUGCAUCAUUUCUUCUUUUCUCCAUCAGAAAAAGAAAGGGAAAUGAGCUCCCUAAAAGUGGGGGAUUGGAGCACCUAGGUUGAAAAGAAAGGGAAAUGAAAGCCUAAAAGAGAAUAUCUAAUAUUGUCAUGUAUACUAUAAUCUCGUUAAAUGAGUUCUUAAUGAGGCUGAACAAUCUUUCUUUGAAGGAUUAAACAAGUAAAGAUCUAGCAGCUAAACAUGUUAUGAACAAGCCUAUUCAAGAAUGUAUUGAGCUUCACCCAUGGUUGAGUUGAACUAAUAUACUAAACUCGGUUUGCAAAAUUAUAUUUGAAAUCAUUUGUUUGGCUCAAUAAAUAAAGUUGAAUAAAACCAAAACUAAUCUCAUUCACUGUGCACCAGUUCACUUGCAUUCCUACCCAAAACACUCGUGCACAUAACCCAUUACUUUUACCUCAGUCUCUUCUUGUCAUCUUGUGUGACACCAUCAUAUGAUCAUUACUCAAGGGAUGAUGGCUCCUUUUAUUUUAUUUUCCUCCCUUCCAACUUAUGUUUAUGAUCCUUCUCUCCUUCUCUUAAUCCUUCCUUGUUAUCUUUCUACGCUCUACUUCACCUCAGUCACUGACGCUCUAAAAUUGCUUCUCAGCAAAUAUAGAAACAAGCUCCAUUUCAAUUAGAAAUAAUUAUGAUAUGUUGUGAAUUAUAAGAAACAACACUGUACAAGAUCAACAGAGCAGGUGAACAGUGACUAAUCUUGACGAUAGAGCACUAGAAACAUUGAAAGAAGAAAGGUGCUACAAGGGCAGUGUGGUAAUACUCACAUCUCCAUUGCAGACAAUCAUUUUUGGCAACUUUGUCUUCUCAUUGGCCCCAAAUUUAUUAGCAAAGUCUUCCCAUUGCUUAACCCCAACAUAACCAAAUACCAAGUCACGAUUUGCAGAUGCAGCAGCCUUCAAUAACUUGAUCAAGUUCUGUGAUUGUUCUUCAUUCAAAUCACCUGUGAUUUUCAGGACAAUUUUCCUCUCCUUAUCUAUCAAUUGCUUCAAUGUCUCAUGGUUCAAGGGCACCACCAGAGGGAGCAAAUUCUGUUUUAUAAAAUCCCCCAAAAAUUCAUCUGCAUGAUUGAAGCUGAGGGGUAAGAUUGUUUUUUCUUUUUGCAGCCAUAAAAAAAUGACAGAUGAUAAGCAAAAUUAAAGAGUAUCGAAGACAUUUAAGCAGAAAUAAGUUAUAUACAGGACAGUAGGCAAUGCAUUUCAAGACAUAGAAAGCUGACCAUUAAAGUUAUGAACGAAAAGUUCCUAUAGUCCUAUUUACAUAGAUAACCAAUGUUCCUGGUCAAAGGAUGGAUUAAUCAAAGCUCAACUUAUUAUUAAACCAUCAAAGAGCAAAGCAGGUGAAACAAGAGUCUUACUCCUGAAGGGUAGUGGAAAUCCAACUUAAAUUUGAGGUUGAUAUAAUGAUUUACCAUAUAUGCUAGCAUAUUCUUUCUUAUAUAGCAUGUUGAAUUACAAUACUGGAUGGAUAAUGAAAAUAAAAAUGAACCCAAACAAUAGAUACAUGAACACAGGAAUAUACUACAGCCCAACAAACAUCAUAUUAUCUUCUAGUAAUAAAAAGACGAGAGAUCCAACUUGGCAUGCAAGCUAUAAAUAAAAAGCACAGCUCCAAAAGCAACAACUUUUUCCAUAUCUGGCAUUUACAUAUCCACAAAGGAUCAUUACAAUUUAAAUAAUUGAGUAAUAACUAAAUCUUAACUAAAUGAUUGAGACUCCAUAUUAACUUGAUUCUGUUCAAAAACUUGUUCCUGUACUCUUCUCAAUUGAACAUAACCAUGUUAAACUGAAUUCUAGACUAGUUGAUUUUCCAUUUUAAUGUUGUUCCAAUCAUGUCAUCAUGUGUCAAUUUUGGGAUAUCAGUAUGUUCCUGACACAGGUGCUUUCAAUUUUCUUAAGUUUUUCCUUAUAUUUGGAGGGUCAUACUCCAAUAGUUCCCAACUAAUUUGAGGUGUUGUCAGAUAUGAAGCAAAACUCAUCAUAGCAUUCUAAUACUACCUUCUCAUCUCUUUCCUUCAAUUUGCUUAUCGUAAAGGUCAUAAUCUCUGUAAAUCACUAUAAGAUUCCUCUUCAUCGUUAUAAUCAAUAGGAUGUUUUCUUUUUCUUUACAAUGUGACAUUAUACAAAGGAAUGUUACGCCCUAAUUAGGUCUAUUUUAUGUCAAAUGUAUAUAAAAUACGAAAAUUAUUAUGUUACAAUUUAUAUCGACAUAAAAAAUGAAGCACAUUUUUUUUUUAUCAAACUCGUACGAUUUUUAUCAGUUUACCAUAUCAUUUUCAUAUUUUUUUGUUUUCUUUUAACAUCGUAUCAUUGUAUUUUAUUUAAAAUUUUCAUUUUCACCAAUCUUUUGUGAUCAUUCUGAUUUAUAUCAUUAAGAAAUAAGAUCCACUUAUUGCCUUAAUGUCAUACAUCGGUAAAUCUAGAUUUUCGGUUGGUUCACAUGUUAUACAUGUGCUUGCCUUGAUGUAACAGUUUCCAGGAAUUGGGGUUUCACUAAUUUCAUUCUGAAACGUUAGGCCACAACUACAAGUUACGAGCAGCAUCUGAUAAAACCGUUAUAUUGACCUCAAAUUCUAAUCUUGUCAUAUACUAUUUUUUUUUCCUUUUUGCAUUAAUUCCCAAAGCUUAAUCAAUUUCCUCAAUUAUUAUAGGGUAGAUUCAGUUACAUAAUUAUAAGGAAAUAUGUCAAGUGGGAGAGUAGGAAAGAAGAGCAAGAAGAUAGCAUCAAAGCCAAAUGCUGUGUCAUUGCAAGAGAAGAUAAAAAUGGUAGACAAGGAAGAACAAGCUCUGUUAAAAGAUAUAGAUGAUCUCAAGAAAUGGGUAUUAUUUGUUUUCUAGCUUUUUUUUUUUCUUAAAUGUAUAAUUUUUUUUAUUUUAAAUUAUCAAGAUUUGAAUCCUAAUCACUGAAAUUAAAAAUCUAGUACAUUACUAAUAGAUCACGCAGCUGUUGAUUAUCUGCUAAUAGAUCAUGCAACUGUGGAUCAUGUGUAUUGAAGAAUUGCUUAUCAUUUGCUUUGAAUACUGGAUGACUGAAAAAAAAUGGUGUUUUUGUUUUCCUUUUGGUUUGAAACAUGGUAGACUGAUACAAUAGAUGCCAUGAAGGAUGAUGUGUUGAAGGAAUACCUUCAAAACAGACCAGAAGAACUGAAGAGUGUGAAGAUCCAGAAGAACAAAACUAAUCAAAAGGUAAGAGCUGAAAGGUUAUGUCUCAUCACUUUUCAUGGUGUUAGCAUCUUCAACAGUUCUAAUAGUUUCUUAUUGAAAAGAUUAAAUGCAACUUUGGUUUGAAUUAGUUAAGCUAAUGAUGAGACAGGUCCAAAAGGCUGUGAAGCCUAAACCUUCAACAUGCAGUGGAAUAAUGGCAUCUGUAUGGAAGUUCCACAAGGAAGAUGAUGAUGAUGAAGUUAACAAAAGCAUCAAGAAACAGUCAAGUCGCCAAGCGAUUAUAUGAUCUACUUGUAGAAUACUGAACUUUUAAUCUUCAAAUAAAAUUAAAAAAAAACUCUUUCCAUCAUCAUUUUCAUUUGCAGCAGAAGAUUUAGAAGUGAAUUGGCCAUGAUCUCGACCAUGUAAACAUCAAUGCAAAACAUAGUAUAAAAAUUAUACAAAGAAAUAGAAGUAAAUGAUUAAACACAAGAAAAGGUAAAACAAGUAUGAUAUGAUAAUAUUCCCUUUCUUUGUCCCUCAUUCCUCGUUCAUGUUAAUCUAGCCACUUUACACCUACCACCAAAUCCAUUGGUCAUUUUCCAUCAAAUUCUAUUUAGAUCAAACACAAAAUUGAUGACUCACUAUAGUUACCAAUACCAGGAAAGUUAAUUGAACUAUAAACCAAUAAAUAGUUCAUUCUGUUCUUGCAUUUCUUCCACCUCUUUUACUAACUGCCUCACACAAUCGACAUGGCAAUGUGUCGAGGCUUGCUGCACGGGCCUUUGCAUAGUUACCUAAUACACCACAUCUUCUCCAGGCAUGGUACUCAGCAUAUGCGACAGGGUCAUUAGCAAGGGCUUUCACAUAGGAAGCCAAUUCCUCCAUGGAGCUAAAUUUAGUUCCAUCUAUAAUUGAAUGUGGAGGGACAAAGUCCAGGACAUUGGGAGCACCAAAAUAGAUAGGAAUCGCACCAGAGUCCAGAGCAUAAAAUAGCUUCUCAGUCACAUAGCUCUCUGUAACGGUAUUUUCAAUUGCAAGGACAAAUUUGUAAUGAGACAUGGCACAAUGUAAAUGGUCCCACCACUUUGGGGUAUUGUCAUCAUUGGUACACUCAGGGUAGAAGGAAAGGGCCAUGUCUGAACCACCAACAUUGUUCAGGCAUUUGCCAAAUGAGUGGUGAGGCAGGAACCUGAGGAGACUCUUUGCACGCUGGUUUCUUUGAGGAAGGCAACGUGAUGAAGACCAAUAAACAAGUGUAUCCUUGAAAUAGAUUCAAAGAAGAAAAAGAACCCAAAUGUGAUUACAACCAUGGAUUUAUGAAAGGAGAUAAUUGGGGAACAACACAUGAACAAAGAAAUAUAAGCCCACUACUCACAUUUUUCUUAUAUGAAGAUAUGUGGUAAUUUCGACCAUUAUGAAAGAGAGCACCAGCAUAAGUUGACUGAACAUCAUCUUUUGCAUGGUAACUGAUGAAUAUAUCCUCCCAACCUGAACGCCUCCUGCCAGCCUCAAGGUCCAUGUACACACGAAGUGGAUCUCCACUGUGCCUCUAACCAAGAAGAAAAGAAAAGACCAUUUCAAUUGAUCCCAGAAAAUAAUAGUCAAAGAUUGGAUGUAUGGAUGAUCUAAAUAAGCAACAGGAAGCCAAAACAUCCAUACCUAGCUAUUUUACUGGUAUUCUGAAUGAUGCAAUGUGAAUAUGCAUGAAGAAAGAUCGGGAUAACAUCCCUUGGAAAACUGCAGCGAGACUGCUAACCUUCUCAUUGGACACCACUGACAAUCUACUGAUUCAAGUUUAUCCAACUGAUGCUUGAGUUAAUAGCUUUGCUCACACUUAGCACAAGUGCGUAAUAGCUAAAUUUGUCAUAAAAUGCCUAUAAUAACAUGAGAACUACAUGCAGAUAAGCACUGGAGUUUCUAUCCUGGUUGAACGUUGUAACAAGUCAAGAUGAAUAUCUCCAAGUUCUGGUGGCUAAUAUUUUUUAUAAGAAAGAGCACGGAUAAUGUCAAAGAAUAAGGCAAAAGCAAGGACUUAAUUAUAGGAGAUAAAAAAUUAGUCAAAAGGAGUUUACUGAUGCUUGGCCGGACGAAAAACCAAAAAGAGAGAUUUCUUUUGUCUCUCUUGCAUCUCUUUAUAUACUAAGGUCCUUUUCAUAGAGGACCUAUGGACUUGUUGCAAUAUUCAAGACGGUAAUGACUUACAUGAUACACUAGUUCUGCCUUCAGUAAGGCAGAACUAGUUUUAAAAGGCACGACUUUCAUAAAUGUGAUGUAUUACACAUUUUUACAUUUUUAGAUUUCUUCCCCUUCCUCAAAAGGAAUACUUCUAACAAAAUUUUUUAACAAGAUUCCAAGAAGAUUCUUUGGACAAGAUUUUCAAGAGACUAAUGAUUUUUGUAUCAAAAUGAGGAAAUAAACUACUGUGGUUCUGGGGCUUACAAGCCAAAUUAUGUCAAUAUCUUCUCCAAGACAAAAUGCCUUCUGGUUACAAAUGUAUCAAGGACCAAUCUGCUCCUUGAAGGAACAAACCACAUCACUACAAAGUUAAUGCAUCACAAAUAUUAAGUUAUAUAAUCAAGAUUCUGAUUUAGAGGAUCCCCUAAAAUGGAUCCCAGAGAACAUAAUUCUCAAUGCUAGAAGAUUAUGCAUGAAACGUACCAGAGAACCUUGCUUGAUUACCAUCAAUAGUGAGGUUUUUGGGAGGAGUUUCCAUGACUAUGAUGGUAGAGGCAAUCGGGUUUACCAAUAAAAGACAGAGGAUGUAUAUUGGAAAUAUUUUCGUCUCUUGCCUCUCUUUGGCAUGCACGUUCAUAUAAUGCCUAACUCUAAGUGGCCUCUUAGCAAAGCAUAAUUCAAUGGCCAAAGUUGAUGAAGGGUCUCCUAUAUUAUGGAAGAGGGAGAAUUUCUAUCAAGAACCUAUUUCUGCAUAAAUUAAUGAACCAUGAGCAGACCCUAUGUACUGAGAAAAAACUACUUUGGCCAUUUUUUUCCACUAUUAAUUCACAUUUUUAAAGGAUCUCCAACAUGUAGAAAGGCACAAAAUCCACCUCUUCAGCAACCUACACCUCAGGCAGGGAAAAAAAAUGCCCAUCUUCUACUCUUUUAGAAUAUAUUGCGAAAGUAGCUUCAAUAUAACACCAUCCACAACAACCAAAUGUAACAUUUCUUCUACCUUUUUCCAAGUAGUGCAUGCACCUUUAUUCACCCUAGCUAUAUUUGGAAAAACCUUAACAUCCAAACCUGACUUGCAUUCAACAUAACCUUCCAACCCUACAUCCCAACAACUAAAAGAAGCUUUUUAAGUAACAAAACAUCAAUUUCCUACAAGCCAAUUCUGCAACUCUAUGCAUUAUGCCUCACAUAGUUCUAAAUCAUAGUCGUGGUUGUGGGUGUUGCAGACGUUGCGUAAUGCAUCAUUACAUUGCACAGUCAUUACAUUGGUGAAAAUUUGUCAUGGAAAUUCCAAAAUGUGGUGUGGCACCUUGAAAAUUCGUUACAAAGAGGUCAUUACGUUGCAUAACAGCCACAUUUUAAUACUAUGUUAUGCCUCCACUAAGUGAAAAGUAUAUAAAGAAUUAUUUGAAAAUUUUUAGAUUAUAAUGGAACAGAAGUGAAUAACAUCACUUAUAGCUGAGAGUAAUAAGCUAAAUUAUAACAACCUAAGUAUAGCGGUUGUCAUGAACAUACUUUGUAACGGAUUCUCAAGGUGCUGAACCGCAUUUUGGCUGUUACACACCACAUUUUGGCCAUUAGACAAAUGAGAUACUGCAUCAGAACCGUAUCAGCUGAUGCCUGCUACAAAUCGGCCGCGACAGCAACCAAAAGCGACAUAAUGUCGCAACUGAAAGCAUUUAAAAAAAUCAAUAAAACAAAAGUUUUGAACAAUACAUUGACAGCAAUUCAAGUUAAACAGCUUUCUACAGACUUUCAAUAGCUUUUGAAAGAUGAACAAAAAAUAAUUGAUGUUUUUGUUUGAAAUAUACCUUGUUGCAGGGAGAAGAAUGAAUCUAGUUCUUUUUCAUUUUGUUUCUUGAGUCUUCUAUUUGCACUUAUUUCCAUUCUGAUAAUCCCAUAUCAGGCUCCAAAGGACAGCGGUUCAUCAUUUCCUCUUCCUAAAGUAGACUCCAUCUCCAAGCAAAAUUUUUUCAAUUUUUUUUCAUGGAAAGUUUUUAAGGUUUUGGUUCUUUGUCUGAUCUAACAAAUUCUAAUGCUUCAAAGGAAAUUUACAAAGAAUCUCAAAGAGAGAUGUUGGAAAUUUGAAUCUUCCCAAGGAAUUUGUAAGCCAUGGCAUCUACUAAAAGGUGGACAAGGACAAGAAAGUUGGACUUUUACAUUUUUAUUCAUGCCUAGUAAUUGUUUUUUGGAUCAAGUUUGUUUUAAUCGGACUUGUAUUUCAUACAUGGAUCUUAGAUUAAUUUAUUUUUAUAUAUUAUUUUGGCUGUGAUGAAUAUAGUAAGAACCCCAUUAACAUAGGCACUGACAUCAUAUAUACAAUAUAUUAUAAUAUAUAUGUAUGUGAUUUUUGAAAAAAAAAAAAGUCACACCCAUGACAACUGCAACAUGCUAUGUAUCAUCUGUGACACCCGCAAUUGCAACACCACAACCAUGUCUGCAAUUUAGAACUAUGUUCAUGUAUACGUAUCUGUUGCUCAUGUUAAGAAAUCGUUAAACUGAAGUAGGGAACCCUAGAUUCUAAAUCAUUACAAUCUACUAACCAAAUUGGUUUAGUCAACUUGCUCUUACCAACAAAAUCAAAUUCCUCAUAUUCCCAAACCAAACAUCCUUGUUCAUCGCAGGCUGCAGCUAAAUUACUCAAAAACUUCACUUCACUCACAUUGUGAUGACUGACACAUUACCCACUUCACUUCUCUCUAUUGAUCUCCUUACGAUAUCAAUUCAAAUCUAUGACUCCAUUCCAAAAAAAAACAUUAUCAGAGUUUUAAACUCCACAAGACAAGUAGAUCACAAGUAUGAUUUCAAUUUUAAUUAAGCAAACAAAUAAAAAUUUUCUAUAUUCCAUAAUUGCAGCAAAGAAAAAGAAAAAGAAAAAAAGUAAAGCAAAGAGAAAAACUACCUGAAAUGGAGGGGUAGUGGUCUCAAACAACAAGGCAUCAGGCUUAUCAGCAAGAACAGAAGAUUUAGUCCAUAAGCAACUCAUCCCACAUCGACAAGAAUACAAAUUAUCCAAAUUAUCAGGAAUCCAAGUCCACCCUUUUACCAAAACACUAACAUGCUCCAUUUUCAACUCAUUGCACCCAGAAACACCAACAGCUUCCUGCAAAGACCCAGACCUGUUAGAAAGCAAACGGAUCAAAUCGUUAUGUUUCUCCUUGAACCGGGCACAACCCAUUUGAGAAUCCCAUUUCUUGAAAGCCAAGAGCAAAUCAGUAAAAGGAUCAGGCUUGGAAUUGAGUGUCUCGGUUGGGUUGGAAAAGGGUUGGAUUGAGGUUGAUACAGAUGGGAAUUCAAGGAAACCUGAAAAGAUUAGGAUCAAGAAAGUGAAGAACAACAUGAGCGUGACGGUGAAGGUGUUGAGAGGCUUCAAUUGCAUUGUCAGUUUGCUAGUCUUUGUGGUCUCUCUCUCUCUCUCUCUCUCUCUCUCUCUCUCUCUCUCUUUGUUUUCUCUCCUUUGAAAAAGAGAGACAAAAUAAGAAGAAUUGGUUUGCUAGUUAAACACAUGAAACAUCCUCAAAACAUUACGCAACUACGAUGUAGUUAGGUGCCAGAGGUACGGUUUUCAUUGGUUAUUGCCAGCCGUUUGGCCGAUUGCACUUGUUUGAAAUUUUCUUUGCCCUAUUAUUUUGACUUAAUUUUCUUUUGUUUUUUUUCAAUUCGUCGUUAACUUAAAAUUGAUUGAUUUGAGAUAUAAUCCCAUGUAAAUUACAUUUAUGCACUCAAAUAUCUCUACAUGAAAAGUUUAUCCUCUGCGAGAUAUUAAUUUUGAUGAAUCCAUUGUUAAAAGCUCGCACAAAUACUAAAAUUAUUUUUUAAAUAAUAAAAUAUAUCAUAAAUUCGAAAUUAAUUAAUUUAAAUUAUCAUAAAAUUUUAUAUAAAUUAUUCUCACGCACACACCCAAACUUUUCAAACUUUCCAACAUGGGAAGUUGAUUUUGUUAUUUGGACAAAUAAAAUUGUCUUUAUAGAGUACUUUGACUUGGCUUUCUUAUGUUUGGGGGCAUGUAAAAAUGUAAACAUUUUGGAUUGCAGUGGCAUCACAAUCCACAAGUAUAAGUUUUUGCGCUCAUUUAAUACUCCUACGGCUACAUGGAUUCUAAAUCAAUACGUAGUCUUUCCUUUUAUAUAUACUUGUAAUAAUAAAAUAGAUUUCAAUCGGUGAAAAUUAAUUAAAUUCGGUUAACUCAAUUUGAUUCGUUUUAGUUUUAAUAAUAGUGAAUUAAAUAAAAUAAUUUAAUUGAUUAAUUUGAUAAACUUUUUACUUUUAAAAUUAAUAAUUUAUUUGAUUGAAUUAAUUAAUAUUUUUUAAUAAUAUAAUUAUAUCAUACAUAAUAUAAAUAUACAUGAAAUAUUUUUAUUUAUAUUUUAAAAAUACCAAAUAUGACAUUGGUGGCAAAAUUAUAGAAUGAGUUUUACUGGAUGAAAAUUAUUUCAAAAAAUUAUAUAAAUUUAUUUAAAAAAUAAAAAUUUCAAUUUUUAUAUAAUAAAUAAUUUAUAGAAUAAAAUUUUAUUAUUCAAAAAAUUUAAAGGUUUGAAUUAAUUAAAACGAAUAUAAAUAUAUAAUUUAAAAUUCAUUAACACGUUUACGUAUCACAUAAAUUAAUUUGUAUAAAAUUAUUAAAAAUUAAAAAUUUACUUAUAAAACUAAAAUUUUAAAGAAAAACAUAUUUUAGUGACAAUAUUUUGAUGAUAAAUUUAUUCAAAAAAUGAUUUUAAAACAUUUUUUUUAUUUACAAUGUCGAAAAAUAAAUUUGAGGUUGAAUAAGUAAUAAAACUUUCACUCUCAUGCAACUUACUCGAAUUUUGCUUACAAUUUUCAUAAUACAAAAAAUGGCAAUAUCUUUCGUACGAAACAGUGUCAACUCAUCCCAAGAAUUAACACUUGAACUUCAAAUCAAAAGACUUAAAAUUGAAACUCCCAAAUCGGUUACAAAGACAAAUUGCUCAAGUCGCUUAGGGAACAGCUGCCAAGGCAGUGAAUAUAGAAAGUUAAUUAAAACAAGAGACUCUUCGGUAAAUGGCUCUUGCCUUGCAUCAGCAAACUCACGAAGAGCUACGUCCCCAUGCCUACCACACUCAUCAAGCCAAUUUCAUUAGUUUUAUAUAAUUAAAGAUGUUAACUUUAUUCAUAUCUAAUUAAAAAUUAAUUUUUUAUUUAAAUGAAGAUGAGAAUAAAUAUUACAUUCUAAAAAUAAAUAUAAUUUUAAAUUUUUUAUCAAAUACAAAAUUGAAAAUGAAUACUAUAACACUCACACCAUAUAUAUACCCAUACUCUAUAAAUAUAUAUAUUAUAUAUUCAUAUAUGUAUAUUAAUAAAUUUUUUAUUAAAUAAUAUAAAUUAUAAUUUUAAAUUAAUUAAACUAAUAUAUUUCUAUUUAAAAUAUAUAUUAAUAUAUUUAUAAAAUAAAUAAAUAAAUAUGCAAAAUAAUUUUUUUUUUUAAAAGUUAAAAAUUACAUUUUGAUUUUUAUUUUUUUCAAAAGCUAAAAGUACAAAAAUGAUCUAUACCCAUUAAAUACUUGUAAAAAUAGAGAUAAAAAUAAAAAAAUAGAUUUGAAAUACACAUUGAAUAUGAGUAUAGAAAUGAAUACUAUAUAAAAAUUUGAAGAUAAAAAUAAAAAAUAGUAUAUCCGUCCUAUACCCGACCCAACCCAUUGAUAUCCUACAUAUAAUGAACUUAGUGAAAUAACUAUACUUAAAAUUGACAGAACAAUGAGAAUCUGAAACUUAACUCAGAUGACUCAUACAAUUAUUUUUUAGAGAUGAUAGCAUUCAACAAGUUUAAUAUUCAAAUCUUAACACCUAUAACUCUUUCUUAUCCGAUCUCUUUUGUACCCAAAAAAAAAAAAACUGACAGUACAAAUUGCUUAUGCAUCUAUCCUUAAGAUUUAUGUACGGGCUAGAGAUACAAAUAUCAUUUCAAAAUUCUUGACAGAAAGUCAUGUUGCUGCAACAAUGAAUUUCAGGAUUGUCAAAAGAUUUCCUUUUCUUGUGGUAUAUGAUUUUAAUGUCGAGAAGUGAUCCUAAACUUUAAGACAGUUUUGCUUGGAUGGUAAUCAAGGUCCAAAAUAUAAUAUACCAACCACUCUUAGGCUGAAGAAAAUGGCGAAGGAAGCAGUCAGUUACUCCAUCUUUACACGCUUUGAAUGUGUUUCCUUCAUCCAAUCAAGACAUUCCUCUGCAGUCCCUGAAGGAUGUGCCAGCUGCCACGAGAUAACCUUUUGUUGCUGCCAAUGAAACAACAGAUUAGCAUUUGAAGUUUUGGAAAAGAAAAAAAAAAAAAGGCAGCUGAAAAUGCCCUACCCAUUCCCUAACAAGUGGCCCUCCGACUUUAAGCUGCAAAACAUCCAUGAUAGCCUUCCCAUUAACCAAUGGCUUUAAAUCCCAAACUUUCUCGAGACCUGCAUUCAAACAAAAACUUAACAUCAGACGAGACUUGCACCCGGGGGGAGGGGGAACACAACAUGCUCCAAAUCAAGCUCGAACAAAAUUAAUUAAUCAUUUGCACAUCAGAGAUUAGAUAUAGGGAGUGUUCAGAAACUGAAAUAAACUUCUAAAUGGAAAUUAUUUUCAUGGAAAACAUCUUCACGUAAAAGUGACACAAAAGUUCUAAUAGAAACUAUAAAUAAUUACAAGUAGAAAGAGACAGAAGAGUAGAAUACAGAGUGGACCAUAAUGAAGAAAAAACACCUAAAAACUAAAAGGAAGAGAUAGCUGGAAUUGUGAAGGAAAAGUAGCAUUAUCCUCAUACAAAACUUACAACGAAAGCCAAGAUAACUAAGAAUAGAAAACCCAUGAAAAUGGAUAUCUCCUCCUCUUUAUUCCUGUCGAGGCAAGUUAUCUACCGCGGGGUCUUACCUAUUUGAGCUAAUUCUUCCAAACAUUUGAGAGUGUGUUCAUAAACAGCCUGCCAAACAAUUUUAAUUUAUCAUUUUUCUUGCUAGCUGGAAAUAAAAGCGGAUUCACUGAGUAAGAUUGGAGUAGCUAAUGUUUCAGAUAAACAACUUCAAUUUUUUCUUGGUUUAGCAUGUUCUUUCUUUUUUUUUUUUCCCCGUUGACUGUGUAGUGACUCUAAGAAACAACUUCCCAUUACUAUUUGAGAAGUAGUUUUCCUUGUUUUAGCAUUGCAAAUUAAGUCUAAUAGAUUGAUGGUACACUAGAGGUCCAAAAUAGAUCCGUCAACUAUCAGGUAAGGAAGCAGUUUCAAAGCACUAAAGCCUAAGGUAAGAGUGCACGAGUAUUUGGUAAUAAAAUACUCAACCAGUCAGCUACCAGCCAUUAGGUCUUGUAACUGUUUCAUGCUAAACAUAAUCAGGGAGCUGAGAACCAUGAGAGAGAAGCAAGGAGGGGAGCAAGGAGGGAAGCACAGUAAACAUGUUCUAAAUGGAAAGACUAACAACAGCCUAUAUGUCAAAGAUAAGAAUUUCGCAUGAAAAAAAUGAAAACCUAAGGAUAUAUAAUUAACGUGGCCAAGAACAGGAGCUUUUGAAAGGAUUAAACAUAAAAACUUAAAUAAUUGGAAAAAGAGACUGUUGAUACCUAAUUUAACAAUGGCAUUCUCAACUGAUACAAACAGGUCUUUUCUCUUGUCCAGCUGAAAGUGCUUGUCUAUAAUAUCUUGAGUGCAAUCAAUAUUGGUGGGAUAUAGCAAUGUAGAUAUCAACAAAGCAACUCGCCAAAAAUCUUUAAUUUAUAUGAAGCAGAACCUGUACAUGUAAGAAUAUAUUAGAUCAACCCCCAAAAAAAAAGGCUCUAAUUGUCUAAGUGUUUUAAAGCAAAAAGAAAAUCAGGCUGAUAGAGUAAAACCUGUAAAGCUGAGUCAAGUGUUCGGUAGAAAUAACUAAUUAUGAAAAGCAUAAAUAUCCUCAUAGCUAGAACCAAAAGUGAAUAGUUAUGCAUUUAGACUCCCCAAGAUUCCAAUUCUAGAAAGCAUGUCUUUCUCAGGGAACACUCCUGGAUUGCUUUGGUCGGUUUCAAUUGUAAAGAAGUUCAAUUCUCUAUAGCAGUGACCCAAUAUUUCUUCAGGUUUGAUACAUUUUACUAUUAUUCAUAAACACAACUUAUUAUCAUACUACAUAUAAUAAAAACUUGAUAUAUCAAUUCUCACACAUGGUUGUCUAAUGAGAGGUCAGUGUUUUGAGGAAAAUAAUUCAUAAUGAAUUAUAUUCAGAAGUCUAUUUUUGGAGAAAAAAACAACCAUAUAUAGACAAUCUUAAAAGUACAAACUACAAUAGUAAUAACUACAUACCUGUCAGUACCCGCAAUUUUGAAGUAAAAGGAACAUCGAUAAUUUCUCUACCCCAGUCAAUCUCAGAAAGUUGGAUAUCCUCAUUUGAUAAAAGAGAAGGAAUCAAGGAUAAGAAUUUCUCCAACGACUUGUGGACGUUUAUAACCUAGAAAGCAAAGAGAAUCGUAUAUUUGUAAUUAAUGCUACAUGAAGGCUGCCAAUUCAGCUUAUAAUGCACAAUCCUAACAAAAACAAAGAAUAUGUGACAAAAUCAGGAGGAAAUCUAGACUCACUGUUUCAGCAUCACUAGCUUUUCGCUUAAGAGAAUCCCUGAAAAUGUAGUUGAUGACAGGAAUCUGCAGUCCAGUUGCACAGGUUUAAAUCAGCAUAUUUUCACGUUAUGUUAUACAAGAAACCAAGUCAAGCAUGCCAAGACAAACAAUUCAAGCAUAAUCAACUAAUAAUUUAGCAACGCACAAAUUUAGACAGAUUAAAAGGAGUCCAACUAAUUUGCAUGGCAAAGGCUCUUGGAUUUAUCAUAAACGAGUUUUUGAAUAACAAAACAAAGCAAGUGAAGAAUACGUUGAACCCAUCAAACUCCAGAUUAGUUCAACAAAAAAUUUUCAGCCAAGUGGGAGUGUCCAUUGUAGACAAAAAUAAAAACAACCCACAGCUUUCUUCAAAUUAAAAAAAAAAAAAAUUGCAUUGCACCCUAUCAGAGUCCAGCCCAUGCUAAUCAAUUAACAAAAUAAUGUUAACACUUUAUUCGCCUUCACACAUGGAAGCUUAUGGAAUGAACAUGAUUAGUACCUUUUUAGCCUUUCGAUCCCCGUACGUGGCACUACACAAUGGAAGAAAUAAAGCAGAAUACAAACACAGCCUUCUCUGUUCGUCCUAAAAUUCACAUGCCACAAUUCAGAAACAGGAGAAUAGAGGAAACGAGAACAAAUCAAAAAAUAAACCUGCUAUCAAAUCAGGAUAACAGAAGCAAUUUGAGAGAAUCAACAGAAUACUUUGAGUCUGAUAACUCACAUCAAAGCUGGAGCAUCCAAUAAGUCGAAUAAGGUUCCAUGUAGCAUCCAAAUAAGAAGCAGACAGCCUGUAAAUUGUAAAGGGAACAAUACAUGAGCAGGAAACUCAGAUGGAAAAUUUGACAAAGAAUGCUCAAUACACUUCAGAAUUCUUCUGGCCCACUAAAAAUAAUACCUACAAAUGCCAGCUUCCACCCCAUCCCCACCCCUAACCAAUCACAGAUAAAUGAAGCACCAGAUAAUGACCAAAAUCAAGCUAUAUUGCCUGGACAAGGCACGGUCAUUGAACACAAACUACGUUGUCACAAGUACUUUCAAUAAUUUUUGUUUAUUUUUCCUAAUAUUUAGAGAAACAAAAAUCAAUAUGUCCAUUUGAGGUGUUUGAUAUAUAUCCAACACAGGUAUGUGAAAAUGAAGAAUUUUAAUAAAAUAGAAUCAAGUAAAACAAUGAGCUUGCCAAAUGGAAAAAUAACCACUAAUAUAAUGAUGGUCUUCCAUUAACAUUGUACUUUCCCCCAAACUGACUUGGCAGCUUCACUUAGACUCUUGAAAUUCAGUUGUUGAAGUUGUAUAGAACAUUCCAAAUGUCAGAUUUUCAGACAAUAAGAGUCAAUAUGCACCAGGCAAGAAAACAUUGUCAUACAUACCACAUAGAUCCAAAGGAGAAAAUUGUUCAAAAUAGCAACUUGCCAUUAUUUUGGUGCACUCCUCCAAUUAAUUAUUAAAAGCUAACUGGACAUUUAUGAUUUUCUUUGACUCUUACAUGAGCUUAUGAAGUCAAGAUAAACUUGUGUUUCAAUAAAAAUAAAAUAAGCCUAGAAUGAAUAGGAUAUAACAUUAUUAAAUUAACCAGAAACCUAUAGCAAUCUUCUGAUACAGCAGGCUCUACUUUCGCAGGGAGACUGCAGACAACCCAAAAUAAUGUCAAAUCACAAAUGUGGUCAAUUGCUUUAGCAGGUUGAUUGCCAGAGAUCAUGAGAUCAAUCUGUAGAACAGACAAGCAACAUGGAAAACAAACAAUUAGUAAGCUUUAAAAAGGUACAGAAAGCAGCAGAGAAUCUCCCUUUGAACAAUUUAACAUGAAUAUCCCCAGGAAUAUAACUAUAUGAAGGAAUGAAAGUAACAUACUUCAGUUCCAAUGCGCUCUCUGCUAAUUUUAGCUGCAAGAGCUGUUUUGACAUCAUCACAUGCAGCAGCUUUCUUUAAUUCUUCAUCCAGAGUGAAACCAAACCUUGCACCUGAUCAACAAAAUAAAAGUCAAAUAAUGUAUGUCUUUUUGUGUUCACAUAUUAUGAGGUCAACCAACAGAAAUAGGUAACCAUGCAGCCUUGUUGGCAACAAGGCAGUUACUAGAAGAAUAGAAAGUUUAGCCUGCUUUCCAAGACUGAGAAUCCACUGUUGCAAACAUUCUUCUUAUUCUUAUUUUCUUUAUUCUUUUUAUAGAUAGGGAUUAGGGAAGCCAUUCCAACAAUAUUCACAAAUCCACUUAAAUUUGCAGCCGAUUAUGACCCCCAAGAAAGUGGUAUAUACAAUAAUGACUUGCUUAUGUUAUCUUGUAGAGUCGGAAGACUCAUUCAAAAAAAAUUAUUGGAAUUUAACAGAGAGAACUGCCCUGAUGGUUUAAGCAGCUAAAAUUCAGCUUCCUGAUGCGGUAAAUGAAUUUGUCUCAGUUUCAUUAGCCUACCCACCCAGUUUAGUGAUACAUAUUAUGAAAGUCUUACUUCUGUUGGUAAGGCUACCCCAUAUACUAGAUACCAUCAAUACACAUAUAAAUCAAAAGCUCUCAUUCAGCACUAUGACACUUUUUUCUAUAAUUUCUCUGUCUAAGAACUUGGAAAGUCCAAUAUAACCUCAUUUUAUAUUCCACAGGCCUCACCAUACACCCCAAUAACUCCAUGCCUACCAUCCCUAAUUCUUCCAUACCUUCAUGUAAUGCUAUUAAACUUCAUUGAAGGGCAAAAAGAGCACAAGAAUGGAAAAUGAUAUUCCCUCCAUAAUAAACUAUCAAAGGAUUGAAGAACGCUAAAGGAAAAUAUGGAAACAAUUACCAAAACGAAUAGCUCGAAGAACCCGUAGGGGAUCAUCCAAAAACGUAGCCUUUGGAGGCAAUGGAGUCACUAUCCUUCCAAAUUUUAGAUCCUCAAUCCCUGCAGUUUAUUAGAUUGAAAGGGACAAAAAUGAAACAUAACUGCAAUCUAUAAAUAAGUGGAAUAAGUAGAUUCAGGAGAAAGUAGCAGACAAAAUCUGCUUACCUCUUUUAGUGAAGUCUUCAACUAAGUUGGUGUUAAUGUUGUAGAACAAGCUGACAAAAGAAAAGAAAACCCCAUUAAUACUAUCUACUAGAAAAAAGAAAAAAUCAAGGAAGAUAUAGACAAAGACAAUAUGCUCACGUUAUAUUAUUAUUUAUAUUACUCAUUUUCUAAAGGAUAAAGAUAAACCAAGUGCACAUUUCCUAGUUAUGACAUGUGAUUUACAGCAAAGAAAGCUACCUAUUAAUGGUUAAAUCCCUUCUAUAUGCAUCCUCCUCAGCGGUACCAAAUUUCUACAUCAAGACAUGAGUGAACUGUUAAGUAACACAAUGCUCAAGAUAUAAAGUAUACAAUGAACCAAUAAAGAAACAGCAUAAAAUUUUGUUAAGAAAUGAAACCAUCUUUUAAGAGGUUCAUUUGCUAGAAUAAGUAAAAAAUCACGAACCCCCCAUAAAUAUAUUUCUCUAAAACUAACUACAAAUCAUUUAAUCUCAACACCAAACAGCUAAGGCCAUCAAGUCCUCAAAAAGCAGAAAUAGAAGAUAUAUAAUAUAAACAUGAUCAUAUAUCCUCCAGGCUACAAAAAUGUACAAAACCAAAAAUUAUUUAGGAAAUUAGAUACCAAAUAUUUGUUUACCAUCGUAGGGAUGCGGCUACUCUCACUAUAGUCUUCACACCUUAAGUUCACAAAAUCAAUCCAUAAAUCAAAAAGGCGCAUCCUAGCAGUUUCUAAGUGCUUGGACUGCUCAGGAUUACUGCAAAAUAAAAUUAUACAGUAUAAUGGCCACAAAUGGUACAACAAAAACCAAAGAUUAAUUACGGAAAAGCCAACAGAGACAAAGAGCUUAUUAAGCAAAUAAAAGUUGCAAACUAUGAUAAACGCUAUCCAGAUGAAGUUAAAAAACAAAAGGAAGAACGUUAAAACAAUACAAUGACCAGCAUACCUUGGAAUGACAGCAAGUCCCUGUGCCACUUCCCCUGUUGAUAACAAGUAUUCCUGAACCUUGUCAACAAAUUCACUGCCCAACAUAUUGUCAAGUGCAAUAUCAAUGUCAUAACAUUCUUUCCCAAGAAGCUGCAAAGGAAAUUAAACCCAACAUAAGCUACAUGCCAGUAAUAAAAAUCUAUAGAGACAUCACAAGCCAUCUUUGAAGCAGUCAUACAGAUAGAGGAUGCAACGUACGAGUUAUGGUACAAUAAUGAUCCAGUCAAAGCCAAGAAUACAAUACCAAAAAAAAUUGGUAAAUUAAAAUUACUAUAUAUUUAUAUAAAAAAAUUAAUAUUUCAUCAACUUUCCACCUCAACCCCUUCCCUAUCUCAUCAUAAAUGGCAAUCCUUGGCGUUCAUUAUAUGCAGCUAAUUCAUCGUUGUGAAAUUAUAGCCAGCUAUCCUCGUUUGACAAUACUCUACUCACUCACUUAUCGCAAUUGCAUCUAUUUCUUAACCUAUAGACAGCAAUUCAUUCGAAAUAUCCUCACUUUCCAAAUGAGCGAUAACAGCCCUAACAAUCUUAGCAUAAAUCAUGAUUGUAGCGAAAUAAUUAGCUAAAUAGCAACCUUCAACUUGUUUUGAAGGAAAAAUGUCUUACUUAUGAUUAAAAAAAAAAAAAAAAAAGAACUCAAAUAAACUAGAUUAUAUCAAUUAUACUUUUCUUCAAAAAGUAAGGAUAUCAAUCUUAUCCAUACUCAAUGGAAAACCCAAUUUUCUGCUCGAAUGGGAAUGAGGAUGGGCAUUACAUUUGUGGGAAUGGAAAUGGGUAUAUUUUUAUAUACAUAAACCUACAUAAUAAACCUACAUAUAUAUUUAUAUAUUUAGUAAAUAAUUUUUUAUUAAAUAAUAUAAUUAUUAUUUUAGAUUAAUUAAAAUUAAUAUAUUUUUAUUAAAAUAUAUAUUUAUAAAAAAAUUACCUAAAUAUAUAAAAUAAAAAUAAAAAACUAAAAAAAUAAUUUUUUAUUUUUAUUUUUGAAGAUUAUUCGUAUUCAUUAAAUAAUUGCAAAAAUGAAUAUGAGAAUAAAUUUGAAAUAAUAUUUAGAUACGAGUACAGAGAUAAUAUAAUAUAAAAAUCUGAAGACAGGAUGGGCAAUGCUUUAACCACCCCAUACCCUACGUAAAUAUCCCUACCAAAAAGUGUAUUUCAUUAGUCGGAAUUUCUUAAUGCCAGAAAAUUCCAUUAAAACCCACUUCUCUUUUUUAGUUUUCUUUUUCAUUGCUUACAUUUCCUUUUGAGCACUGGAUGUUACUAAUAUAAGGCAUAAAAAUAAGCUAAAAUUUAAAAUGAUAAAUUGUUUUCAAAUGUGAGUAAAAUCACCUUAUCGCGGACCCAUCCACCAGCAACUCGAAGCUGAGUUUGGAGAUUGAAGUGGCGAAGAGUGUUCAAAAGCCUAUCGAAAAUCUUCUUCUCAGUUUGGGUCAAUUCAAUUUGCUCCUUGACUUGAAUAGACGCGGCGGUCGCCAUGGCUGUGGAGCAGCGAAGAAACGGCGAGGGAAGAAAGCCUGUGGUUCUUGUAGUUAGGGAUAGGGUUGUUGCUUUUGAUGAAGUUGAAACGUUUCGAAACGCUGGAGUGAUGUUGGCGGUGGGUAGAGAGAGGGAGUGAAGCAGAAGAGGCGCCUUGGCCUUGAGCUUUAAGGGGUUGUUCAGAGAGAGUCGCAUAGCGUUUCUUUUGCCUUUUAUUUUUCUCUAAUUAAAAAGGCCUAAAAUUAAAAAAAAAAAAAAAAAAUACACCUCUAGGAAUGAAUUGCAUAUGAACCGGUUCAAUUAUCUCAGACAAAAAACCGGAACGGUUCGUUAUCUCAUCGGACCGUAACAAUGUAGGAGUUCAAUGAAUCGAAUCGGUUGUUUAAUUUUACUCAUUAACGGGAGAUACAACAAAUUUGUACUUGUAUAUGAUUAUUUCGUGUUUAAUAUAUAUAAAAUAUAAAAAUUAUCAUAUUAUAAUUUAUAUUAAUAUAUUAAAUAUAAAACAUAUUUUUUAUUUUUUUUAAUUUAUUUAUUAUUUUUAUAAAAUUUUAAACUAUAUAAUUUUUAUAUUUUUUUUUUAUCGUAUCAUCGUAUUUAUCAAAUUUAUUAAAAAAUACACAUUUUAAUUUAUUAAUAAUAUAUAAUUUAAUUUAUAUCAAAUACAAAAAUUAUUAUAUCACAAUUUAUCUCCCUAAAUUAAACAUAAAAUAUAUUUUUUAUUUUUUUAAUUUAUUUAUAAUUUUUAUUAAAAUUUUAAAUUAUAUAUUUUUUGUGUUUUUUAUCUUUAUCAUGUCAUAAUAAUUGUCUAAUCAAUUAAUGAAGUAUACCUUGUGAUUGAUUGAUAUGGUAUUGCAAUUAUAUAUUUUCAUUGCAUCGUUCUGUUUGUUUCAUGAAAAAUAAUUUUUAAAAAAUAAUUUUUAUAUUUUAAAAUAUUUAUUUAAUAAAAAAUUAAUUGGUCAAUGAAAAAUAAUUUAUUUAAUUAUAAAAAAUAAAAUAUUUUUUUAAAAAUUAUUUUUUGAAUUUAAAAAUAGGAAGACAUUUUUGAAAAAACCUAUUUAUGAGUAAAAUUAUUUAUUAAUACUUUUGAAUAUAAUUUUACUUACAAAUAAUAUUAUAUUAUAAAUAAAUAAUAUUAUAUUAUAAUAUAUUAAUAAAUAAUAUCAUAUAUACUAUUAAUACAAUAUAUUCAUAAAUAAUAUUAUAAUAUAUUCAUAAAUAAUAUAUAAAUAAAUAUUAUACUAAUAUAUUAAUAUUAAUAAAUAAUAUAAUAAAUAUUAUUAAUUUAAUUAAUAAAUAUUAUAAUAAUAUAUGAAUAAAUAAUAUAAUAUUAAUAUAAUAUUUUAAUAAAUAAUAUUUUAAUAUAUUAAUAAAUAAUAUAAAGAAUAAUAAAUAGUUUUAUUUUAAUUAUUUUUUUAUAUUAUCAUAAUAUUUUAAUAUUAAAUAUUAUUAUUAAAAUAUAAUUAUUUUUUAAUAUUAAUAAUUUUAAUAACAAAUAAUUUUAAUAUAUUUUAAUAAUAAAUAAUUUUAAAUAUUUUAAUAAUUAUAUUACUAUUAUUUGAGAAAAAAAAAAACAGAUUCUUCGUAAAACCAAACAACGGAUAACAAUUUUUUACUAACUUAUCCUAACAGAAAAAAAAAAUCUCUUUGUAUUCAAAAAAUGUAAACAUUUUUUCAGAAAUUAUUUUUUAAAAGUUAUUUUCUGCCAAACGGAGCCUUGUAUUGAUAAAGCAGUAAAUGCAACAUAAGGGCUCACUCACUGCAAGACUAUAUCUGAUCCUGUAAGUUAUGAGCACAAGCUGCAGGAUAUGAGAUCUAUAAUUACAAAAAUAUGCAGAAAAUGAGCAAUGAACUGGGUCUAGAGAUGUCAUUAAGGGCUCACUGCAAGACAACAUAUCUGAUCUCCCAAGUUAUGAGCACAAGUAUUUCCCAUAGAUCUGUUGGGAAAUUGUUGUCGCCAUAGAUCUUUGAACCGUUUCUGGGCACUGCACUUGAACCACUGAUGCACGAGCUGGUACUGUUCUUUGUUGUUAGUCACACAGUUAUAGUUGCUGUGAGAGUAGCGUGGCAGGGAGCACACUUGACAGGAGAUAGACACGGGCGGUUUCCAUUUCCAGGUACAAUCCUCCGCCUCAAGGCGUUCUUUUUUUUCCAGGAAUCUUUCAAUCGGGGGAGCGCAACCAAGUUUCAAACCUCAAAGCCCUGCAAGGGAUGUGAAGCCUUUCUCAAUGUCUUCCACUCGCCCAGUAGAUCUAGGAGGCAAAGGGAAUCCGUUGAUUGAAUCCAUUCCCAUCCAGCAUAGGCGGGUAGAGUUCACUCAUCCGGUAGCGAGGGGAAGAUGAACAAUGAAGCUAUAGCUGCUCACCUUUCCGCUAUCUGCAUUGUUGUAAUAGGGGGCUUAACAGCCCACUAACCAAUCUUUCUUUCUAUUUUGAAUUCUUGAUCUUUGGUGCCAGUGGAGCAAAGGAAGCGGGAAACGAACUCCUCUAUCUACCCUAGAAAUGGGUUAGAUCUAUUGAAUGAGAUCCUGGAGACAGGUUUGGAAGGUAUGAGUCGAUUGGAUGCAGGGAACCCGAAUAGCCCUAUCGACAUGCAUGCAAUGAUAAGUGCACUACAAACAUUUCUAUUAGCAGCCUCGAAUAUUUAGCAACAUGCACAAGUUACAUAUGUUGGUAGCAUUAAUGGAC
rnacentral:lncRNA from 1 species